CUUAUAGAAUAUGCUAGAUUCUAACAUUUUAUGCAAUGAUCCUUUCGUAAUUUCACUGCACUAAAAUCACAAUGACUAUUGCCAAUGAAAUUACAAUGUCCUCUAUUGGAUAUUGUUACAAGACAAUUCCUUAGAUGUGAUGUCUCUCACUCAAAGUACAUUCCUUUGAACAUCCUUUUGCAUAAAAGUUUCUAAUCUAGACAUAGAUUUUCAAUAUUCAAUUCCCAAUAUGGAAACGUUUCCAUAUUUUCCAUAUGACAACUCAUUCUUAAUAGAAUCUUAUCUAUUCAUAAUAAUGUCGAUAUGGUCCAUCCAAUACUAUACUUCCAACUACUCACAAGCGACCAAUCCUCGGCGAACUUUGGAUUGUCCUUUGAUAGUUGUUUAAUUAUCUUAGUCAAAACCGAUUCUUGUCCUUUUUCCCUCUAAAUGCGCUAGACAUUUGGAAAAUUUUAGAAUGGUCAAAUAUUAUAGCAUUUGCAAUCGAUCCUAUACCCGAAGCGUAUGGGACACGAUGCAUAAUGUCUUACAUAAAGAUUUGAUACUUUAUCAAUCUUCUGCCAUAAUAUUUUAUGUGCUACGUUCUUAUAAUUCGAAUUAUGAAGAGGAAUGUCGUAAUCAUAAUCGAAAUUUAAGAACACACUAUGUAUCCUUGACUAAAUUUAUUAACAUUCCACAACCUAAGCCUUUAGAUUUGAAAUGAAGCAUAAUAUUCUCUCCCUUAAUUAUAGCAAAACAACUUUUCAACCCUUACAACUUUGCAAAGUAUGACUCUUGUUUUCUAUAAUUAAUAUUGCUAACUUGCAAUACUUGCCUUAAUAAUCAUACAAUCAUAACAUUUAUGCUCCCACUAUCAUGAUGAUUAUUAUAAACAUAACACUUAUGCUCCCACUAGCUUUGACAUGCAUUCAGAAACAGCUUAACUUUCAGAAAAACAAUACCUAUUGAAUUUCUUAAGUUCAUGUUUCUAACACCUAAUGCUUUGAUAAUCCUUUAUCUAAGCUUAUACACUUUUCACUUAGAUAGCUCAUAUGUGUGUCUAAACAAUUUAGACUAAUUGCCAAAUCUCACAAUUUGAAUCAUGGAAAGGGAUACCGUAACCAUAAUCGAAUUUAAGAAUGCAAUUUUCAUAAUCACUAUCUUCCUAAAAUCUUUCUUAGUGAAAGAAUUUCCUCACAGUCAUUUUCAUGAAGGAGGGAAUCUUAUGACACUUAGAUUUUAAUGGUGUAUGUGUUCCUAUCCGAGUGAAUUUGUCAAAACCAAACUUUAUGACAAAUUCAAACUCAUAUGGACUGAACCUUUUCAAUCUUGAUUUCUUGCCUUAUGGUAACACAGCUGCCCACCAUGUCUUCCAAGUAGUUAAGCACCUCACCUUUUCCUAUCAAUGUACUUUUUAUUGAUCAAGGUCCUUGCCUUUUAUGCAUUCAAAUGAGAACUCAUAGAAACCUCAUGCAUAAUUAACUCGAUUGGAACGGCAUAGAAACAAGAUAGUGUCAACACGAUAGGUUGCAAACCUCAACUCGUGUGCUAGUGAUGAUUGAUAAGAUUUAUUCUUGAUUAGUUCUUGAAACUUUUCGAGGAUCAUUAAGUCUCCCACUAUCACAACUAGCAUUUUUAGCUAGAAAAUUCUAUUCCAAUAUAAACAUCAACCAUUGUAAGGCAUGCUCUCUAAGUGAAAAUCACACUCUAUGCUCAAUCAAAAUCAUCCAUUUGAAAUCAAAACUUUCUCAAGAGGUUCAAGACCUAAUAGAAUAUAUCUCAUAUGUUCAAAUAAGGGUUGGAAACCCCAGAAAUCCCGGUUCAAGUUCAUUAUGAACUAGGAUUCUCUAAAUAGACCACAUUCAUAAAACUUUAUCAUUUUGGGCCAUGUGGGCCUAAAAUAAUCCAUAUUAUCUCUAAUGAGCCUUAUUGGGCCGUAACAAAUUCAAUUAGCUUUAAUGGACUCAAAUCCAUUCCUUUAUGCUAAUUUGGGCCGUGAACAUCCUUAGAAGCCCAGUGGGCCGAAAAAUGUUAUUUGAGCCUCAUAAAUUCGAGUAUGGGCCCAAGAUGAUUCCUUCCCUCUCUCCUUAGCCCAAUCGGCCCAUGUUAAAAAAAAAAAAGAAAAGAGAUAAGAAUGGUGAAGGAAAUAAAAACAAAAUUGGAAAUUAUGAGAAAUUUGUGAGGAUGCCACCUUCUUAUUGCAUGGUGGAAAUCCAUGAAAUGUCACCUCACUUCUCUCCCCUCCCUCUCUUCUUCUUAGCUCUCGGCCCCAAAGGAAGAACACACACACACACACAAUUCACUUAAGUUUUCUCUCAAGAACUGACAACAACUUCUCCUCUUCUUCAUCAAAAUUUCGAGAUCUUGGAACAUUUCAAGGAGAUCCUUCCACAAAAACCAUCAUCCUAGGUAAAUUUUUGCUUAGAUCCAUGGUUUAGCUUCUUUAUUUCUUCAAAAUAUCCUUUUAACUCAUUCCAUUUCAUGAAUCAUACAUCUUAGAGCCAUCUAAGUUGUAAAGUUCCUCAAGAAGCUUGCUAGGACCAAAAACCUCUUCACAUCUUCACCAAAACCCGGGAACAACAAAUCAAGGUGAGUUCAUACCCCCUUGUUUUCUGUUUUACUUGUUUUUUGGGGAGAAUACAAGUCUUAUGUGUAGAUCUAUGUAUAUAUGCAUGAUUAUGUGUGUUUUCUUGAAACAAUUGGUGAUUAUGUGUUGAUUUCUUCACUAAUCUAAAAUUAUGUUAAGAAACUUGAAGUGUAUCACUAGGAUCUUCAUAUGAAUCAUGAGAAAAGUAUGUUUUAUCUCAUAUAGUACAUGUUAACUUGUAGAUCUGGGAUUUGUAUACUUGAUAUAGCAAAAAUGAGUGUUGUGUUCAAGGAUCUAUAAACUAAACUCACAAAACAGCCCUUGACAGAAACGUUUUGGUCCAUUCUCGGACUGUUUUGACCCUCCCAAUGGAAUUAUUUUUCAAAACUGUUUUACAUGGAUAAAGUUCAGAUUUAUACCUUUAAAAUGAUUACUCUCACGUUUUCAUAAGAUUUUUCUACAAUUUUUGGUGAAUUUUACAAAACUGCCUAUCAAAUUGAAAUACUUUCGGACCAACCUGUGAAUGUGAGAAAUUUCACACUAGUUUGAGGCCAUUAAAAAUUUUGAGAAAAAUUGUGAACAAAAUAGACAAGUUUUCCAAACUUCCUACAAAUUUUCCAAAAACUAGGUCGGAAAAGCCUAAAACCAGAAAAAUAUGUAUUUCCACAAAAAUCAAGCCAAAAAUGAUAUUUUUGACACAAAUGGGUUUAAAGUGUUAUUUUUAUCACAAAGUAGUCAUCAACAGAAGUUUUUAAUAAAAUUGGAGGCUAAAGUGUUACUCUUACAAAAAUUGGGCCUUAAUUGUAAAUUUUUGGCUUAUUGGGCCAAGAACGCCAUUUUUACAAAAAGGUGGGAUUUUUAUAUCAAAUUUGUAAAUAAGCAAGCUAAAAUAAACAAAACAAUAACAAACGGGAUUAAAAACGAUAUUCAUACCCUUGUUGGGCCUAGAAAUAAUAUACACGUUUAGUGGGCCUUAGUGUCCUUUUACAUGUAUAUUGAGCUCGGGAUAGGUAUUCAUAUCCUUAUUGGGCUUGGAAAUAACAUACAUGUUUAGUGGGCCUUAGUGUCCUUUUACAUGUAUAUUGGGCUUAGGAUAGACAUUCACAUUCCUUUUGAGCCUGGAAAUAAUAAGACACGUAUAGUGGGCCUUAGUGGUCCACCUACAUGUUUAUUGGGCCUGGGAAUGGGUUUUAUAUGCAUUCUUCUUUUUAUGCUAGUUUAGUGAAUACUUGAACUAAAACCAAUGAUAAACCAACAAAUGGAUUUAAUUUGAUCAUUUUCUAGGUUAAUGGGCCUUAGUGACCCAGUUUUAUGUGUGAGAGUUCAUGUAUAUAAUUUAUAUGUUUAUUGGGCCUCAUUGACCCUUUAACAUAUGCGACGGACCUUGGAUACUAUUUGUGUGCCAUUUGGGCCUGUAAAUGCUUUACAUGUGAAAUGGGCCUUAGUUGUCCUUUCAUAUAUAUUUCGGGCCCAUGUUAUAUAAUCUCACUCCCUUUAGGUCUUGAAAUGAUUUACAUGUUUAGCGAUGCCUUAGUGGUUCACUUACAUGGAUCAUUGGUCCUGGAAUGAGUUUAUACCUUUUCACUUCGCGUAAAUUCGAUUAAGGAUCUAGCUAGUUUUUGUCGGUUGGCACCUAUUAAGUGUACGAUCGUAGCCUGUAGUUAUAACCAGAGUCUCUUGGAGGGAGAACGGGGAUUUGUGUAUAGAUCUAUACGGGGAUGACGCCCCACGCCUCAGCUGUUCGCUACAGUUAGACUAUCUCGGUCUAGGGUGACGAAAACCUUAUAGUCAAAUUCAAAACUGGCGUCCAACGAUGCCAAGACAGGUGAAAUUGUCAUUAUUUAGUAUGGUUAUGACGGCUCGCUUAGAGGAAUUAACGUUAUAAAGUUUACGGAAGACCGUUUUCUUUUAUAGGCAACAUCAGGUUGUCUUGGAACAUUCUCUUUACAUGCUCUUACAUUCUCUCUACAUUUUCUUUGCCGUUUAAGUCAAAUAAACAAUAACAUACAUGCAUUAAUACAAGAUCUGACACAAACACACUAAACAGUUUUAAGAAAAUAUCGGAUUUUCUGGUGGUUUUCAAGUUAUAUAAAUCAUUUUCACAAACAUGCUUAUGAACUCACCAACAAAUUUAUGUUGAACGUUUUUCAAAAUAACUUGUAUUCUCAGGAAAUCAUUGAAGUAGGAUGAACAAAACAAACUAAUGGAUGUUGUGUUAUAUUUUGUUUCAUCAUACUCUUACUAUUUUGGCAUCUAAUAUUCAAAUACAAUACUCGAUGUAAACAAUGAAUGUUGUAAUAUUAAAUGUGUGAUGAUGAUGAUGUUAUGUUUCAAUUAUAUUCACUGUAAUGAUAUUUCAAGUUGAAGUCACGCACAAGCCCCCGGACGUUUCCGCCGUCUGGUUCAGGGGUGUGACACCCACUGACUCCUUGACAUAUAAGAUUCUCUUGUCAAUAACAUUUCUUGACAAACAAAUAUUCAAGAGUUGGUGUAGCUUUUAUCAAGACAGAACAUUUCAUAAAAUUGGUCCUAGUUGGUCUUUGUCUUAUCCAAGACAUCACAACUUUCCAAUUUCAAAUGUGCGAGAAUAAGAAAAACAUUUUUCUAAAUUCUAUAUUUGAUGAAUGUUAUAAACCUUCUUAAGACUUGUCACUCAAUGUCACAAUCUUAACUUUAAGACUUGUUUUUAGAACGAAGUAUGAUUGACUUCUUAAUUUGAACCAUUUCUUCAAUUCUUGAUUCCUCUUCUCAGACAUACAAUUGUACUAAGACUCACUUAGAGGAUCAAUUGAGAUAUGGUUCUUAAUCAUUAAGACAUAUCCUAAAGCAUAAAAGGUACUCUCCCUUCUUCUUAGAAUAGAGAAACUUUUAUCUUUCUGUCCUACUUGAUUCUUCUUAUUCGUUCUGCUAUUGAUUUAAACUUUUUCAAUCAAAUCAGAAUUACACUUAAUCUUAUAAGUAUAAUCAUAUUUACUAAACCUUUAGUAAAUCAUGACGAAUAUCUUUGUUACUCUUGUGGUGGAUUUUAUCAACACACAGCUUUCUGUACUCGAUCUCCUAGUCUUUCACUUGACACUUUGUCAAUGAAUCAGUCCAAUUUCCAAAUAUGAAAUUUCUCAUUUAUCGUGCAACCAAGUUGCAUGAUUCCAAGUUUCUGUCCAAUUGAAACUUGGGCGAUGAGAAACUUUCCUUAUUUGGUAAAUUCUUGACAUUUCCACUAUUAACAUAAUUAAGAAUCACAUCCAUUCGUUGUAGAAAUAUGCAAACAUCAAUUUUUCAUAACGAUUUCAUUGCAAGGAAAUAAAUAAAUAAAUAAAUAAAUGAGUCAAAUCAAAAUUUAUUUUAUUCAUAAAAGUAGCGGAAAACAUUUGUCCUUACAAUGCAAAAUCAACUGAAAACUAUGUAGAAAAAUUCCUAACAACUCUAUCAUAACUUUCUAAGCUCAAAAUCUAAUCUUCAAAUCCAUGCGAUCGAGAUCCAUUUCUUCGUGAUUAGAUUUAUCUUGCUUUUCCAUCAAGCUUCCUCUCUUUUCACUGAUCCUGCAAAACAUUCAAAUGCAAUCUUAUCACAUCAUGUAUUAAGAAUCAACGAAUAGGAACUUAAUGGAGUUAGAUAGUGGAUUUUACCUGAAGCACAACCAUACUCUUUGACUCUCCCAUCUUCUGGACUCUUCAGGCUCUUAGGGCAGACUUGUAUCCAACGCCCUUUCUCUUGGCAGCAAACGCAGGUCGGUUCUCCUAGAACGUCCUCGGAAGCAUGGUUGGUUGACUUUCCCAACAAAUAUGCUCCAUUGCUUUGCCAAAUCAUUUCUGAUUCAGCAGCAAUGAGCAUGUAAGUUAGGUCAAUGAGGUUNNNNNNNNNNNNNNNNNNNNNNNNNNNNNNNNNNNNNNNNNNNNNNNNNNNNNNNNNNNNNNNNNNNNNNNNNNNNNNNNNNNNNNNNNNNNNNNNNNNNNNNNNNNNNNNNNNNNNNNNNNNNNNNNNNNNNNNNNNNNNNNNNNNNNNNNNNNNNNNNNNNNNNNNNNNNNNNNNNNNNNNNNNNNNNNNNNNNNNNNNNNNNNNNNNNNNNNNNNNNNNNNNNNNNNNNNNNNNNNNNNNNNNNNNNNNNNNNNNNNNNNNNNNNNNNNNNNNNNNNNNNNNNNNNNNNNNNNNNNNNNNNNNNNNNNNNNNNNNNNNNNNNNNNNNNNNNNNNNNNNNNNNNNNNNNNNNNNNNNNNNNNNNNNNNNNNNNNNNNNNNNNNNNNNNNNNNNNNNNNNNNNNNNNNNNNNNNNNNNNNNNNNNNNNNNNNNNNNNNNNNNNNNNNNNNNNNNNNNNNNNNNNNNNNNNNNNNNNNNNNNNNNNNNNNNNNNNNNNNNNNNNNNNNNNNNNNNNNNNNNNNNNNNNNNNNNNNNNNNNNNNNNNNNNNNNNNNNNNNNNNNNNNNNNNNNNNNNNNNNNNNNNNNNNNNNNNNNNNNNNNNNNNNNNNNNNNNNNNNNNNNNNNNNNNNNNNNNNNNNNNNNNNNNNNNNNNNNNNNNNNNNNNNNNNNNNNNNNNNNNNNNNNNNNNNNNNNNNNNNNNNNNNNNNNNNNNNNNNNNNNNNNNNNNNNNNNNNNNNNNNNNNNNNNNNNNNNNNNNNNNNNNNNNNNNNNNNNNNNNNNNNNNNNNNNNNNNNNNNNNNNNNNNNNNNNNNNNNNNNNNNNNNNNNNNNNNNNNNNNNNNNNNNNNNNNNNNNNNNNNNNNNNNNNNNNNNNNNNNNNNNNNNNNNNNNNNNNNNNNNNNNNNNNNNNNNNNNNNNNNNNNNNNNNNNNNNNNNNNNNNNNNNNNNNNNNNNNNNNNNNNNNNNNNNNNNNNNNNNNNNNNNNNNNNNNNNNNNNNNNNNNNNNNNNNNNNNNNNNNNNNNNNNNNNNNNNNNNNNNNNNNNNNNNNNNNNNNNNNNNNNNNNNNNNNNNNNNNNNNNNNNNNNNNNNNNNNNNNNNNNNNNNNNNNNNNNNNNNNNNNNNNNNNNNNNNNNNNNNNNNNNNNNNNNNNNNNNNNNNNNNNNNNNNNNNNNNNNNNNNNNNNNNNNNNNNNNNNNNNNNNNNNNNNNNNNNNNNNNNNNNNNNNNNNNNNNNNNNNNNNNNNNNNNNNNNNNNNNNNNNNNNNNNNNNNNNNNNNNNNNNNNNNNNNNNNNNNNNNNNNNNNNNNNNNNNNNNNNNNNNNNNNNNNNNNNNNNNNNNNNNNNNNNNNNNNNNNNNNNNNNNNNNNNNNNNNNNNNNNNNNNNNNNNNNNNNNNNNNNNNNNNNNNNNNNNNNNNNNNNNNNNNNNNNNNNNNNNNNNNNNNNNNNNNNNNNNNNNNNNNNNNNNNNNNNNNNNNNNNNNNNNNNNNNNNNNNNNNNNNNNNNNNNNNNNNNNNNNNNNNNNNNNNNNNNNNNNNNNNNNNNNNNNNNNNNNNNNNNNNNNNNNNNNNNNNNNNNNNNNNNNNNNNNNNNNNNNNNNNNNNNNNNNNNNNNNNNNNNNNNNNNNNNNNNNNNNNNNNNNNNNNNNNNNNNNNNNNNNNNNNNNNNNNNNNNNNNNNNNNNNNNNNNNNNNNNNNNNNNNNNNNNNNNAUUAUCUAAUCAAUUGGUAAUUAUCUUUUGUUUAUAUACUCAUAAAUAUGUAUAAAAUCAGAUUUUAAUGAUCUAAAACAGAUAAGGCAAGUAUCCAUGAGUAAAAUAGCAAGAAAUCCCGAAAUCCCCUCUUUCUGACGCUCGAACUCGCUGAGUACCCCAAUGGACUCGCCGAGUAGGGGCCUACUCGCCGAGUCCACAAUGGGACUCGCCGAGUUCAUCAAGCAGAGAGGCCAAAAACGAUUUUGCAACUUGAACAAACAUACAAGGCAUCAAUACAAUAGAAACCAAUCAAGGCUCUGAUACCAUUGAUGGGUUUUAGCCAUAAGAACAUCCUAUGUGCUCAUACAAACCCUAAUGCUUGGAUCUAGGUUUCUCUAUUGUACAUGCAAUUCAUCCAAGACUAUAAACCCUAGAUCUAGCAUAUGAUAAUCAAUAUAACAUAUAAAUUAGGGUUUAGAUCAUACCUUGAUUGUUAUGUAGCAAUAACAAUCUCAAAUCCUUCUUGUAUUGACUUUAGAAAGCUUAGAGUCACAAAUGUCACUCCUCUAAUGGUUCACAAACACCAAGAGCAAGAGGAUGAAUAGGAGAAGAGAAGGAGGCUGCCCAAAACAUGUCGAAACCCUAAGGAUCUUGUUCACCACGUUUUUGGGGCUUAAGGGUCCUUUAAAUAGUGAGGCUAUUAGGGUUAUCUAAGAAGGAAACCUUAAUUUAGAUGCUUAAGCCCUAAGCAACCCAUGGGCUCCUUCCUUAAAGGCCUAGGACGAUUUCUAAUGGGCUUCCCCAUAGAAUUCGUCCAACCUUAUAUUAUAAGGUAAUCCAUAGCCCAAUUGCAAUUAUCUUAUAAUUACAAUUCCAGUCCCUUAAGUGUAAUUAAUCUCUUUUAGCCACAAACUUAAUUCNAUAAUUCUUAUUACUUCUUGACUAAUAUUAAUUAAACACUAUGAUUUCUCCUUUAAUAUAUUAUUCUCAUAAUAUAUUAAUAAAUCAUAUUUAAUCCUUUCUCUCCAUUAUUCAUCCUAUCAAGUUGCUUUGGUGAAGGCAACCCAAAAGGAUCAUGCACCAUCGGGUCAAGUACACACCAAAAUAGUUAUGGACUUAGACACUAAUCCAACAUAAAUUUACUGUGAUAAUGAAGGAGUUGUUGCCUUGACCAAGGAACCGAGGGAUCAUGGUAGAUCUCGACAUAUCGACAAAAAAUAUCACUUUAUUCGACAUCGGGUGGAAUAAGGACUCCUCGUAGUGAAGAGGUAAUCCUCAAAAGAUAACCCAGCAGAUCUGCUUACGAAGGGACUGAGUAGGGUUAAGCACUUGCAGCACACUAGGAGCAUCGGGCUGAAGGACGAUAUUAUUUUAGAUUAGAUAGUUUAGAGACAUGUAAUAGAUAAGUUGUAAUUAACAUUUGAUGAUUAAAUAAAAGAGUAUUGUUUAUUAGUAAUGUUAUUGUCUUAUGUUAGUUGUUUACCUAUUGUUUCAUAUUGCAUGUUUUGACUUCCUGAAUAAUAAGAUUAUUCAAACGGUCCAAAGUCGUUCAUAUGUUGGAAGUAGGUAUGAAUGAAGACUGUCAUGAAUUGGUGUGUAGACUGUCUAAAGUGUGUUAGACAUAGAAAAAGUUUGCUACAAAGUCCAUGAGUGCUUAUGAACUUGAUUUGAGCAUUCGAAUAAACCCAAGCUUGCUGGAAUCACUUCAUGGAAUUCAUCACGAGUGAUCGCAAGACGAUAAUAUCAUAUGGUCUUAAAACCUAGAUAUAUGGUUUAUUGUUUGCUAAUUGGUUGUGCAUUGAUAGUGCGUAAAUGCAUCAGUAACUUGAUGUUAUAAAACACAUUGUUGUGUAUGAUUUGGUUAGUGGAUAGUAAAUGUAUAUAAGUCGAAGUUUAUCUGUUCCUUUUAUCCUAGGAGGGUAAAAGCGAUAUCAGGGCCCCUCGAUGAUUUGAUUUGNGGGCCAAUAAAACCAAGAAAAUUCCACCAGAAAUAAAGAAAUUUUUUUUAGCAUACUCAUGAAUAUUCCUAGGAAGAAUUAUUUAGAAUUAAUCGGAUUGAAGAUAUAGCGUCAUCAUUGGCUGGAAUCGAAAUAUCUGCAAGAUCGGGGUCUGGUCAGGACUGAAUUGAUGUGUUCAAUUAAUUUCUAUGUCAAAUGAAUCUGAGAUUGAGAAAUAAACUGCUAGAGAAUAAGUAUGACUAUGUUCCAUGUAAUUGUCUGCACGAUAUCUAGAACAGAGGAUUAUACGAUCCCUUAUCUGAAGGACAUGAUAUUGAUAAGAUCAAGAGUUUUGAGAAUUGCGAUUGCUAAUUGGAUCCAGAAGUUAUAUUUGCAUUUAUAGUUAUUAGACUUAUCCAAGUGGGAGACUGUUGGAUUAGUGUCUAAGUCCAUAACUAUAUUUGCUAUGUACUCGACCUGGUUGUGCAUGGUCCUUUUGGGUUGCCUUCACCAAUGCAAAUUGAAUGGGGAAUAAUAUAGAAAGAGGUGAUUAAGGUUUAUUAAUAUUUUAUAAGUCUAAUAUAUUCAAAGAGAAAUCAUAUUUGUUUAAUUAACAUUGGUCAAUAAUUAAUUAGUUUUGCGAUCAAAAGAAGUUCAUCAAACUUAUGGGGCUGAACUGUAAUUAUGUGAUAGUUGCAAAGUUAGGCAAGGAAACCCUAAUAGAUAGGGUGGAAGAAUAUUAAGGAUAAGGCCUUAGCAAUUCGUCCAAGAUAGGGCUUCUAGAAUUAUCCUUGGGUUUCUUGGUGGCUAAGUAACCAGAUAAGGAUAAUCACUGAAACCCUGAUUUCCAAACCUAUAUAAAGAUCCCUAAGGCUUGGGAUUUCGGAGAACACUUGAACCCUAGAUGUCCUAGAGCCAAAAUUCUCUUCUCCCCCUCUCUCUUGUUUCCUCUAAUUGGUAUUGGUGUUUGUGAUUCAUUAGAGGCACAAAAUUUGAGGUGCUAAAGUUCUCAAGGCUUCAAGACUUUAAUCAACAAGGUAAAUAUCUAGAUCUAUUUUGUUAUGUUAAUUUCGAUUAUAUACACUAGAUCUAGGGUUUGAAAGUCUUGGAUGAAUGCAUGUACAAUUAGAGAAACCUAGAUCCAAGCAUUAGGGUUUGCAUGAGCACAUAGGAUGUUCUUUUGGAUCAAACCCAUCAAAGGUGUAGUUAAAGUUAUGUGACAGAUUGCAAUGAAGCCUCCUCAAUCAAUUUGCUGCUAUCUAUGAACCUGCUAAAGUGAUCUAGAAGAAUCGGUCUCUGUGUUAUUAUCUCUGAAGUUUUUCAAAGCUGAAAGUGCUGAUUUUCAUGAACCUUUACAAGAAGCCUCUAUAACCAAUGUGCGUUCAAGGUUAAAUCUUUGAAGGAAGUCCAACUUUUCAAGAUAAAGUCAUUCAUGUAGAAAUUCAUAUGUUCAUCUUGAAUUUGUGAAGAAAUCGAAGAUUAAGGCUGAAGUCAAGAAUGAAGAGAAGAUUGAAAAGAAAAAAAGCUACAAACCAAGGGGGGAUUGUUAGGUCAUAAAUUGUGGUUUAUACUUUGCUUUUCAGAAGUUGUUAGAGUUCUCGGUCUAGGACCGAAAACACCAUGUUAUGGUGUUGUUUGGAUCGAAAUCACAUGUGAUUUCGGUUAGGCUUUUGGGUUUUGGGUUGAGCGUUUGUAUUUAUGUCCAGGUAUAUAUAUAUAUAUAUAUCUAUAUAUAUAUUGUGUUUAUUAGGCAUUGAAAAAGGGUGAGAUGUGAGUGAGAGACGUUUUUGUGUGACUCCUCAAGCUAAGAACAUGUUUAGAGCAAAAGAGAGAACCGAGAGUGUUUUAUGUAUGUUAUGUACCCGACUAUUAUCAAUAAUAGUGUGCACUGAAGAUUAAUCAUCGUGUCCUUCUUCCAUAUUAAAUCUUGCAUCUUUCACUUGAUUGGGAUUCCGCACCAUCAUAGUGAAUCCGAUUGAUACACCAAGAAUCUUGGGUUUUACAAACUCACCGAGUUCCAUUAACAGAAUCGGGAAUGUUCGAUUCAACUCAUCGAGUUUCUCUAUGAACUUGCUGAGUUCCUCGUAUUUCUAGUCUAUUCAGCCCUUUCCUUAGAUCUAAGGUUCCAUAAUAUAGAUCUACAUUGUUUCCAUGGCAUAUUUCUGUAAAGUCGACAACUUGAUGGCUUUGCAUGCCUCAAGUGGAGCCAAUCUCGAGAUAUAGCAACCUACUUAUAUGGACAUGGUUUUUUCUUGGAAAAGAACGGGUGUAGGGCCCUUUUUAUGAAUCUAAGGACCAAAUAACAUUGAGAAUGGGAGUUUGUAGCAUCAGGACUAUAAAGGGUAUCAUGUUCCGAUAAUGGGGGUCAAAAGUUCCAUAAAACAACACUAAUAUAAAUCUAAGUUAUUAAUCAUCAAGUUAGGGACUUUUUACCUCGGAAAAUUGCCAAAGAUGGAUGAGAUCCCAGAUCUAGUGCUUCUCCUCAAGCUUAAUGACCUUCUAGUUCUUUAAAGUCCUUCACCAAGCAUAAGAACAUACAAAAUCCACUCAAAACCUCAAGUUUCUAAACAAGGAGCUCACAAUACGAUUUAGGGUUUCAGGAAGGCCGAUGAGGGCUGGUGGGUAAAUAUUAAGUCGUUUAAAUAGGGUGCAAAACCCUAGAAAUUAGGGUUUCAUCCCAGCCGGUCUACUCGUCGAGUUGAGGCCUCUCAACUCGUCGAGUAGGUUACUCAAAUCAUGCGGACCUUAUAAUCUCUACUCGACGAGUUUGGGGUUUCCAACUCGUCGAUUUGCUCUGUAAACAUGAAUAAAUUAUAAUUAAAUGCAUACCAGGAACCAGGCAUUACGUAUAUUAUAUACUUUUUCUUCAACGCAUAAUAGAGCAUCACAAUUUGGUGGCGUGUGCGCUGUGUUAUAUAUAACUUAACCUUUAUUAUAUUUGCAUUGUCUAUUAACAAAUAGUGUCAAAAUAUGGUAAAUGAAUAUGUGUUGGUAAAUAUAUGUUUAAUGUGCAUAACCGAAAAACUUACGGUUUGUCUUGGAAAAAGAAAUUGAACGAAGUUAAUGUCAUUGGAUGGCCAAACAUAGGCGAGUAGUUUAGUUUUGCCCCACCGAUUUUUCCAACAUCUAAAAAUAAAGUUUUUCCAACAAAGUUAAUGUCAUUGGAUGGCAAAGUGUUAACUUUUUUAUUUUUAAAAUAUAAAAUAUGAUUAUAAAAAAAAAUUGGUAAUAAAAUAUACCAAUCAUAAUUUUUCUUGAUGUCAUAUCUGUUGGAUUAGUGUCUAAGUCCAUAACUAUUUUGGUAUGUACUUGACCCGAUGGUGCAUGGUCCUUUUGGGUUGCCUUCACCAAAGCAACUUGAUAGGAUGAAUUAUGGAGAGAAAUGAUUAAAUAUGAUUUAUUAAUAUAUUAUGAGAAUAAUAUAUUAAAAGAGAAAUCAUAUUGUUUAAUUAAUAUUAGUCAAGAAUUAAUAAGAAUUAAGUUUGUGACUAAAAGAGAUUAAUUAAACUUAAGGGACUGGAAUUGUAAUUAUAAGAUAAUUGCAAUUGGGCCAUGGAUUGCCUUAUAUUAUAAGGUUGGACGAAUUCUAUGGGGAAACCCAUUAGAAAUCGUCCAAGGCCUUUAAGGAAAGGAGUCCAUGGGUUGCUUAGGGCUUAAGCAUCCAAAUUAGGGUUUCCUUGUUAGAUAACCCUAAUAGCCUCACUAUAUAUAGAGCCCUUAUGCCCCAAAAACGUGGACAAGCUUCCUUCUAGGGUUUCCACACGUUUUGCGCAGCCUCCUUCUCUCCUCCUCUUCAUACUCUUGCUCUUGGUGUUUGUGAACCAUUAUAGGAGUGACAUUUGUGACUCUAAGCUUUUCUAAAGUCAAUACAAGAAGGAUUUGAGAUUGUUAUUGCUGCAUAACAAUCAAGGUAAUAUCUUAAACCCAUUCUUAUGUUAAUAUGAUUACUUGUAUGCUAGAAUUAGGGUUUAUAGUCUUGGAUAACUUGCAUGUACAAUAGAGAAACCUAGAUCCAAGCAUUAGGGUUUGUAUGAGCACAUAGGAUGUUCUUAUGACCAAAACCCAUCAGUGGUAUCAGAGCCUUGAUUGGUUUCUAUUGUAUUGAUGCCUUGUUGAUAUGUUCAUGCUUGAAAAUUUUGUUUUUUGUGAGCCUGCCUGAUGGACUCGGCGAGUAGGCCCCUACACGGCGAGUCCAAGCGUCAGAAAGAGCAAAUAUCGGGAUUUCUUGCUAUUUAUCUUUGAGAUACUUGCCUUUAUCAUAUUAGAUCAAUAUAAAUCCGAUUUUAUGAUAUAUAUGAGUAUAUUCUUGAUCUAAUUGAAGAUAUUUAUCAAUUAAUAAAAUAUUUACUUCCUUAUAUGAUUGAAGUUAAUUAUUUGUAUUAAUGGGGUAACUUAUUUUGCAAGAAAUUGAAAUUAGGUUAAAUAUAGAUAAUGAUGAAAUUAAUUGUUUAAUUAUAUUAUUUGUUAUUUGAUCCCUGUGGUAUGAAAAGUUUCAAUUUUCCCCUUUAGGUUUUAUAGUUUAAAUUUGAACUCAAAAGUUUAGUUUUUGAAAUUUAAAUAGUUGAAACCCUAAUGUUUUGAAAUGUUUCAAACUUGCCCUCAAGUUUUGGAAUUUAAAUUUUGAUUAAAAGUUUAAUUUUGAUGUAUAUUUAAAUUCUAAACCCUAAUGUUUUGAAAUGUUUCAAAACUUGCCCUCAAGUUUUGGAAUUUAAAAGUUGAUUAAAAGUUUAAUUUAGGAAUGUUAAAUUCUAAAACCCUAGUAUUGUUUUGAAAAGUUCAAAUCACACCCUUAUGGUUUUAUUAAUUAAUUAAGGUGUAUAAUUAAAAGAGGUUUAAUAAAUCCAUAAAAGUUUUGGUUUACAAUUUAAUUGAAUUAAAAGUAUAAUUGUUAAAUUAGACCACCUAAUAUUUUAAAAGUGUAAAAUACACCCUAUACUAUAUAUAACAUUAAAAGUCUAACAUUAUAUAUAUGUAUGAGUAAAAGUCAGUCUUACUGUUAGUAGGCCUCAUUCACGAAGCUGGUUUAUAAGGGGUGUUUAAGGAAAUUGCCUAUAAAAUGACGAUUGAAUGGGUAUCCACUCUUACCCACCGCACUCUUGACUAGUGGAGGGUCGUUAGCCGAACGGGUAGGAUAGGACAAAACCUUCCAUUAUAAGUAUAAUGAAGUACAAAAGUAACUAAAUGUUUUACAAAUUCCCAAUCUUAGUUACUUAGGCAAAAGUGAAUUGAUGCAAUUCCAUGAAAUUACACUUUGUGCCCUUGCGAAGACGUUAGUGGAGCGUGUGUGGUUAACCGGCACACUAAAUGGUUCUAAGCAAAGGUAGCAAAGGGUGACUCAAUGUUUGUCAUAGUUCUGUGGAGCGUGUGUGGUUUACAGGCACAUCGAAUAGGUGACGGUAACAUGUGAGGGCACCAUGUAAGUUUGCGUGGUUAUUCACACCCGCUUUGUGGUCUUCGGCAUCCCAGUCACAAACUAGAGGGUCAUAUCGAGAUUUAAACAUGCCAUUGAAAUGUUCAAUGAAUCUCAUAGGAUCUAGGAGUUUUCAUAGAUUUAAAACUUAAAUUUCUUUUUUGUUUUUCAUGGUGAAAAUUAGUGAAUCGUCAUUCACUUACCUUCAAAUAUUCUGCAACUAGAUUACGGCAUCCCUUUUCUAGGUUGUAGAAUAUUGUGUUGGGUCCUAGCCUUAGUAUCUCAUUUGGGUGAUUUACUAAGGACUCAAUCAAUCAACUAACUUGAAUUCGUUUUCUCCCGUUUUGUAGAUGUCAAAGUACGACAACUAUGGUCUUCCCAAAUCCCGUGGAACAAGCAUUCCACAUGAAGAUGAUAUUCCACGAUUCGAUCGAGGAACAAGAGAUCAUGCUUCACUUCCUCCACCUCCUCCAAUUAUUCUCCCUAACCCACAAGUUCGAAGGCUUGAAAGGUUCAAGCUCACUCAAGCCCUUUAGGCAAGUAAACAUAAAAGAAGGAAAGUCGGUGUGUGCACACGUCCUAGGGAUGAAGUCACACAUUGAUAAGUUAAGAAUGUUGGGAUCCGUUGUCUGUGAGGAGAUGGCAGUUGAUUGGGUUCUUCAGUCACUUCCUAACUCGUAUAGUGAGUUCGUAAGAGAGUACUAUAUGAUGAACCAUGACAUGACCCUUAUAGAUCUCACUUAUAUGCUUAUUGCUGCUGAAUCAGCAAUGGUUUGACGCAAUGGAAAAGCAAAGUUGAUUGGUGAAUCUGCCUUCCAGACCUCUAUGGAUAUAGGAAAUGGCAACGAAAGACAUGCCAUGAUCGAAGAGCUUGAUCAUAAGAGAAAGGCAAUAUCUGAAGUAGUUCCAUGUGCUGUUCCAAAAGACUCGAUUUGCUUUUAUUGCCAAGAGAAGGGGCAUUAGAGACGAAGCUGCCCUAUUUACCUAAGAGAUCUAAGAGAUGGGAGAGUCAAAACGUAUGGCUCUGCUUUAGGUAAAAUCCAUUGACUAACUCUUUUAAGCUUCUAUUCUAGAUUCUUAAUACAUAAUGUGAUAAGAUUACAAUUGAUGUUUUGUAGGAUCGAAGAAAAGAAAGGAAGCUUAAGAGAAGAAGUGAGCAAAAUCUAACCACGAAAGAAUGGAUUUCGAUCGCAUUACUUGAAGAUUAGAUUCUUGAGCUGCUACUUAGAGUUAGAAUUAGAGUGCUAAGAAAGAAGUAUUAACAUAGUUUUUCAAUGAAUUGCAUUCUAAGGACAAAUUUUUCCGCAAUAAAAUAAAUUAUGAUUUUAUAUUAUUUAUUUAUCCUUGCAAUGGCGUAUAUGAAAAUUUGAUGUUUGAAUGUUUCUAAUAUUAGCAAUAAUGGGUUUGAUUCUUAAUUAUGUUGUGUCACACCCCAAAACCGAUAACGGCGGAAUACGUUUCGGGGUGGAGGACGUCAUGCACAGUAUCAUCACAAUUGCAUAAUAGUAAAAACAAGAAACAUACAACCAUUGCAUUUACAUAGUGAAUUUAAUUACAAGAGUGUUUCAUAUUGUUCAACAAACACCAAAAGUAAUUCAAAAAUAAGAGAUGGGUCUUGUAUGCUCCACCUUCUCCAAAAAUGCUGGGUCUGUACCUGUCUAUCUUUGACCUGAAGAUACAAGUUAUUUUGAAAACGAAUAUCAGCAUAAAGCUGGUGAGUUCAUAAGAGUUUAGUGUGAGUUUUUGUAUAAAAAGCAAUAGUGCGAAAAAUGUGCUAUUUAUAUUCAUAAGCAGUAGAAAGCCUCGAAAAUCCUAUAUUUUCCAGAAAAUACAUUGUAAGUGAAAUGUAUGAAAAGUAGGCAUUCUCUUUUUUUGAAAACAGUUUAAUGUAAAAGUAUAUUAGAAAUUCCCAAAUAGUAAUGUGAUAGUAUAGGUUAAGCCUGUAUUUAGUGGUGGAGGUGCAAGCUUCCUUUAGUGAUCGAUUCUUACUUACUUCGGGAUGUAAUUUAGCAUUUAGUGUAGUAUUUUAGAGUAGUUAUAGUGUAUUCCUUGUAUACUACUAUUAGUGAGAAUAAUAGAGGAUCCCAUGACCUUCCCAGUCAUGCACAAUGUAGUGAAGUAGUGGCAUCCCUGGGCCUGCACGGCGCGGACUGAAAUUAACAGUCGGGAUAUAAUAGCGUCUGCCCCGUAUAGGUCUAUACAUUUAGUGUCGUCUUCCAGUCGGAAAACUCCGGGCGUAGUGGGUAGCGAAUAGAGUAUCUCGUAGUGGGUUAGUGUAUUAUUGUUUGUUUAGUGUUUUCUCUUUUGUUAUAGUGUAGAAAUCCUAUAGUAUUGAGCAUAGUGUAUUCUCUUACUAGUGUAUUGUCUGGUAAUAGUGAGUAUUAUAGUGUAGAGAGUAGUGACUUUAGCGAGUAGUAGCAGUAGCAACCGUAAUUAUACCUAUUAUAAUUAUCUUAGUGUGGAUGGUUCUUGACAUGUUAGUGACUUUAGUAUUUUAGUGAAAAGAGAAUUAUUCGUAUCCCAUACUAAUAUACAAGUUAUAUAACUAAGAAAUCAACGACAGUCGGACAGAUAACUACUACCCUAAGCCCACAAUCAAACAAGAACAGGAAAUAAGGCGAGAUAUCGGUCCUAAGUCCUCCAAGUCUUACUUAUAUAACUAUAUCAGAAUGGUUACAUUUUAUAAGUAAAUUGAUUUAAUAAAAGUAUUUUCCAAAAGAACAUUUAAAAUCUGGCUUGCUGUCCAAAAAUAGUUUUGAAAAUGUAAAAACCUGUUUAUAAGGCAUAGUGAUAAAUCACAUGUGAUUUGAACUAAGGAUAGUGAAUCACAUGUGAUUAAUCCUUGUAACUCGGAAAUCGUUCUGUAAAACUUUACAUAAACAUUUAUAAGCAACUUGUAUCUCCCCCCUAAAACAUGUAAAACACUUGAAAGGUUCAUUAAAGGGGUAUGAACUCACCUGAAAUCGCGGAAAUCGGGUGAAUCGGGUAAAUCGGGUAAUAGUGUCGAUUGAGCGUUUGGUACCAAAUAACCACUUGAGCACCUUUUAGGACCCUAAUGUCAUAUGAAAUAUGUAUUUUACAAGAAGUUAAUCAUCUUAUGCUUUUCAUUAUAGAAUUUGGACAUUCUAGUGUCGUUUUCGGGGUUUUAAGGCCUAGAAAGGGUUCCCGGGAGUGGUACAAGGCCAUGAAUGAUUUACGGGAGGGUCCUUGAGUUCACUCUCUUAGAGUUUAUGGCCUAAAAGCCAUCCAUUGGGAGUUUACGGCCGUAAGCCCCCUAGGCUUGGCCGUAAACUCUUGUGACACUCCAAAAUGUGUGUUUAAGGCCUUAUCUCACUUCCUUGAUUUAGUGGUGUGUGUUUUGGACCAAGAGGGAAGGAUUAAACAUCAUAUUUUGUGAUAUUUUUGGGGAGUUUACGGCCAAGACUUGUUCUUGGGCCGUAAACUCCUAUAAGUCCUUCAAGAUGAAGGUUUUACUUGUACAACAUGGUCCCAAAUGGCUUAGAAAAAUCCUAGAAGGCCCUAUAGUGAGUUUGGAGCAAUUUGGCACAUAUUUAUGGGGAGUUUACGGCCCAAGAACAUCCUUGGCCGUAAACUCUUCAUUUGGUGUCAAAAUGAAGUGUUUAAUGGUACAACACACUUCCAUAGGCCUUAGAUAAAUUCCUUUCAUGCAUUAGGGUAGUUUAGGGGCUUGUUUGACACAAAAGUUUGGGUGUUUACGGCCCAAGCUUAGCCUUGGCCGUAAACUCCACUUUUUAUGUUCAAAUGAUGAUGUUUAAUGCCUUUAAGCCUUCCUUGUUGUCAAGUCUAAAUUACUAAACACCCUAGAAGAGUUUUUGGAGCCUUAAACAUGGAUUUGUGGGGUGUUUGAGGUGUUUACGGCCUAAGCACAUGCUUGGGCCGUAAACUCCUUUUUAAGCAUCAUUCUCUUGUGUUUUAAGGUCCAAACUCUUCUAGUUAUAAGCCUUAAUUAGUAUACUAACAUACAAGAAGGAAAAACUUGGUCUUUGGCUUGGAUUUGGGGGUUUACGGCCUAAGGAGCUUCUUAGGCCGUAAACUCCUCUUUGAACCUUGAUUCCUAUGAUUUUUGGCCCUCAAAUUCAAUGAAGCAUGUCUAGAAUAAGAUAGAGGAUGAGUACUUACGUUUGGAAGUCGGAAAUUAGCGGAAUCGGGGUCGUUUUCGAGUCUAGAGAGAGAAAGUAGAGAGAGAGAGUGGGUGUGUAGUAAAUGAGUGUUCAAAUGUUGUGCACACCCAUUGCAUAUGUCUCGGGAAUCGCACCCGAUACACGGCUACCCGAUGUUUAAAGUUAACUGGGUUAAAACUUUUUACCCGGGUGAAGUGGUUGAAAAGGUAAUACAACUCUAUUAGGUUAAACGGGGUUAACACAUACGAGUUAUAUUUCUUAUAAUAAUAUCAAGCCAUGCAUAAAUUUAGAUAUUCGGAUAUUGACGAUUCCAAAUAUUACAUAAAAUAACGUAUAGUGACACGUUCCGUUAGUGAAAAUGGGAUUUGUAACGGAAUUAGAUUUGGGGUUGUCACAUCAUCCCCCCGUUAGGGGAAUUUCGUCCCGAAAUUUAGAAUACAAACAGAUACGAUAUUACAAUACUACUAAGCGAAGAGAUGAGGGUAUUUGAGUUUCAUUUGAUCCUCGCGCUCCCAAGUGAAUUCCGGUCCUCGCUUGGCGUUCCACCGAACCUUCACAAUUGGGAUGCGGCUUUGUUUCGUCCGCUUUACUUCACGAUCCAAAACCUCAGCAGGUUCUUCCACGAAGUUGAGGCUCUCAUUGAUCUCGAUCUCGUCGAGGGGAAUCACGAGAGUCUCAUCAGACAGACAUUUCUUCAAGUUUGAGACGUGGAAGGUAGGAUGUAUGUUACUUAGCUCGCGGGGUAAGUUUAGUUUGUAAGCUACAGGGCCGAUUCUGGCAAGAAUCUCAAAAGGCCCUAUGUACCUUGGGUUUAACUUUCCACGCUUCCCGAAGCGUAUCGUGCCUUUCCAGGGCGAGACCUUCAGAAGGACCCGGUCUCCGACCUGGAAUUCCAAGGGUUUCCUUCGUUUGUCGGCGUAGCUCUUCUGUCGAUCCCUAGCGGCUUUUAGUCGUUCACGUAUCUGUACAAUCUUCUCGGUCGUCUCUCGAAUGAUCUCUGGACCAGUGAGGGCGCUAUCAGGAACUCGUCCUUUAGCUAACUGAGUGUCUCCCACCUCGGCCCAGCACAACGGGGAUCUGCACUUUCGGCCGUAGAGAGCUUCGAAUGGAGCUGCCUUGAUGCUCGUGUGAUAACUAUUGUUGUAGGAAAACUCCACAAGAGGUAAGUGUGUAUCCCACGAUUUCCCGAAGUCGAUCACACAAGCUCGCAGCAUGUCUUCUAAUGUUUGGAUCGUCCUCUCACUUUGUCCGUCAGUCUGCGGAUGGUAGGCUGUACUCAUAUCCAGCCUCGUCCCUAGUGCCUUUUGUAAUGAUUGCCAAAAUCUAGAGGUGAAUCUACUAUCUCUGUCUGAUAUAAUAGAUAUAGGGACGCCAUGCAAUCGCACUAUUUCUUUUAUAUAAGUCCUAGUGAGCUUUUCCAUCUUAUCCGUCUCUUUGAUGGGUAGGAAGUGGGCGGACUUGGUCAACCUGUCAACGAUGACCCAAAUGGUAUCUAAUCCACCUGCUGUCUUGGGCAGCUUGGUGAUGAAGUCCAUUGUGAUUCGCUCCCACUUCCAUUCUGGUAUUUCCGGUUGUUGGAGGAGUCCUGAUGGCUUUUGACAUUCUACUUUGACCUUCGCGCAAGUAAGGCACUUACUUACAAAGGUAGCGAUCUCUGCUUUCAUGUUCGGCCACCAGUAUAGCUUUUUGAGAUCCAGAUACAUCUUAUCUGAACCCGGGUGGACGGAGUAACGAGUGUUGUGUGCUUCCCUCAUAACCAAAUCUCUGAAACCUCCAUGGCGUGGAGUCCAGAUUCGGUCCAUGAAGUAAUAGGCUCCGUCACCCUUAACCUCCAGAUUUUUAUCCAUUCCACGCAGGAAUUCUCCCGUCACGUUUCCAGGCUUUAGAGCUUCCAGCUGAGCCUCUUUGAUCUGCGUGGAUAGAUGUGAGUGUAUAGUUAUUGACAACGACUUAGUUCUUCGUCCGGAAUAUUCUUUUCUGCUCAGGGCGUCUGCUACUACGUUGGCUUUCCCCGGAUGAUAUCUAAUUUCACAGUCGUAAUCGUUAAGUAAUUCGACCCAUCGACGCUGUCUCAUGUUGAGUUCUUUCUGGUUCAGUAUAUGUUGGAGGCUUUUAUGAUCAGUGUACACCACGCUCUUCGUCCCAUACAAGUAGUGUCUCCAGAUUUUUAGUGCGAAGACGACUGCUCCUAACUCAAGGUCGUGAGUAGUGUAGUUCACUUCAUGGUUCUUUAGUUGUCUCGAGGCAUAGGCGAUAACUUUGCCUCGUUGCAUUAAGACGCAACCGAGCCCCUGAUUGGAUGCGUCACAAUAUACGACGAAAUCUUCUGUCCCUUCGGGAAGGGAUAAUACUGGUGCGGUGCAUAGGGCUCGCUUCAAGGUCUGAAAUGCCUUCUCCUGUUUCUCCUCGCAGUCGAAUGAUACACCCUUCUGUGUUAGCAUGGUGAGAGGUUUCGCAAUCCGAGAGAAAUUUUGGAUGAAUCGGCGGUAGUAGCCAGCGAUGCCUAAAAAUUGAUGAAUUUCCGUAGGCGUCUUUGGUGCUGACCAGUUCUCNNNNNNNNNNNNNNNNNNNNNNNNNNNNNNNNNNNNNNNNNNNNNNNNNNNNNNNNNNNNNNNNNNNNNNNNNNNNNNNNNNNNNNNNNNNNNNNNNNNNUUGUAUGAGCACAUAGGAUGUUCUUAUGACUAAAACCCAUCAAUAUCCUCUUGUAAAGAUUUGAUGUUGGAAAUCAAUGGAUAAAUCAGAAACCACAAUUAGUAGUAUCAGAACACCGAUUAAACCGUGUGCUAGUGCUUAUUCGAAUAGUCAAAUGGUCACGGCUAAAGUUGUAUCCUUGAUAUCUCGGAAAUUGAUAGUAUGUUGGUUCAAUUUGGAAAUGGGUCAAACAGAACACACCUUCCAAUAGAUGGUCUUCAUUGAAAAAAGACAUCAAUUGUGUGGAGUAACAAAUGCCACCAUCUUAUCUCUCUAAUAGAAAAAAUUAAUAGUUAAAUAAAUUACUUCAAAUUUGAUAUAAAUAUAUAAAUUAAACAAAAAAUCAUGGUAAAUUUACAUUUCUAUCGAUAAGGGUUAUGAUCAAUUGAUUCGAUCUAACUUCUCUCCAACAGAACUCCACUUGCACGGUUCUUAAUGUAUACCAUAAAUGAGGGCUUUGAAGGAUUGAAAAAUCAGUGAUGUAAGUGUGUCCAUCCAUGAUUCUAAAAAGAAAACCAAUAUUUUUUAUGAGAUUAUAUAAUGAAGUUGUAGUAGGAAGAUAAGAAAACAUGGUUGCUUACGGAUUUUUCCAUAGAGUGGGAGUAAUAUAAUCCUUUUUUAUAUAUAUGAAGCAUUUGAAGAUAAAGUAGUUUCUUAUAUAACCUUUCAAGUAAUUUUAGUUAUAUAGAUAAAAUGAUUUACAAACUAUUCAAUCAUUCAAAACAAAAAGGAUUGAUUACCUGCUGUAAUAGAUGUUGGCAGAUUAAUCUGUGAUGAUGAAUUUGAUGAUGUAAACUCAAUCUCGCAAGAAAAAGAAUACAGUUGAAGUAACAACAUAAAAUGAAUAUUACUACUAUAGAAUUGAUAAGUUAUGAAAGAGUAUGAUACUUGUAGAAACGACAAUACCAAGUGAAAGAACAAUAACAUCUUUGUGAUUCACCUACACAAUAGGACUGAAUGGGUUCAGGGAAGAUCAAUUUAACACUAAAUACAAUAAAGAUUUUUAGAAUUAGAUACUACAUGAAUUAAAAGGAGUUUGUUUCAAACUUAUAGAUCAAUUGCAUAAAGAAACAAUAACAGUCGAUUGUAUUUUAGCCGGAUGAAACCCAAAAAUCAAAGGAAGAAUAGACAGAGAUGAAACAAUCAUUAUACAAAAUCAAUAAAGAAGACGUAUGAGAAAUAGGACUGAAUUUGUUCAGGGAAGAUCAAUUUAACACAUAAUACAAUUCCGAUUUUCAGAAUUGGCUACUACAUGGAUUAAAAGGAGUUCGUUUAAAACUUAUCGAUCAAUUGCAUAAAGAAACAAACAAUCGAUUGUAUUUCAGACGGCUGAAACCAAGAAAUAAAAAAAAUAGUAACAGAACACAAACAUUAAUGAGAAAUUGACGUUGUUUACUCGAUUUUUGAUAAAUUGAUAACAUUUGAUUACCGUAAAUAUCAAAUCCAGGAAGUAGUAACAGAACACUAACAUCAAUGAGUUAUUUAAUCUGGAAAGACGAUGAUACCUGUAGAACCACCAACGAAUUCUCAAUCGAAUUUCUAAAACGACGAUAGUAUAAGGGAGAGAUGAAGGUUAGAACAAUAUAUUAGAUGACGAUAGUGACGGUAACAAAUGCGUAUUUGUAGUUGCCUUUUGUUAUGAUAACAUCAGCGAAAUUAAUCCAAUAGUUUAAAAUAAUCAAUGAAAAACAUUGAAGGAGCCAAAUUAUUUUAGGUGAUGUGAUUAGGUUUCUGGUUUAAUAUAUAUAUAUAUAUAUANNNNNNNNNNNNNNNNNNNNNNNNNNNNNNNNNNNNNNNNNNNNNNNNNNNNNNNNNNNNNNNNNNNNNNNNNNNNNNNNNNNNNNNNNNNNNNNNNNNNUUGGUUUUUUGUGUUUAAAUUUUUGAAUUUUUAUAAUUCUAUAAUAUUAUUUUUUUAUUUCAAUUAAUGAUUUUUUAAGUUUUUUUUUAAAUUAAAUUUUUUGAAAAAAAAACAGUGUAACAUGGUGUGGUAACUGGUAACCGUGGCAUAAAACCAUGAUUUUAUCGUAAAUCCAUAUUGAUUUUGACUUGGGUUCGUAUAAUCAUUACCGGUGACAACAGUUCUUCACUUACAUGGAACACCAAGAAUUCUGCUACAAAACAUUGAUGUAGGCUCCACUUUCUGCGAGAGUUAAAGAUGCUGAAAUUGAGCUUGUGCAUUGUGGAAUUUAGGAUCAAAUUGCACAUAUUAUUACAAAACUAUUGAAGCUGGAUAUUUUUCGGAAGAUGUGCAAAUUGCUUGGAGUUCAAAGUCACGAAGAUAUAAGUUGAGUUGCUUUUAGCAUAUAUGUGUUUAGGAAAAAAAAAGAUUUGAUAGGAAUAAGAGUUCCCUUAGGGGUUGUUGAAAAAGUCCGGUUAUGUAGGGGCAAUAAUCCUAGUUUUAAGCAGACCAAUUAGGGAUUCUGUUCUAGUCGUUUUGAAAUCUUCUUGAGUAUUUUGGUUAACCAAAAAUACGGAGUGUUUUGAGUAUUUUGGUUAGUUUUAUCACACAUCGAUCAUUUUUUUGUUAACUACUCUAUCGUCAAAAUACGGAAUUAUACUCGAUGGUUUACUUUUGAAUUGUUUUGAUUGGAUUUAUCGUUUUCAGAUAGAGAAGGAGAAAGAACGAUCAAGUUGAAUUGCUUGGCAAUGGUGCAGGUGUGUUGAGUCCCAAAACCCUAGUUCCUAGCACCCGAAGACACUUUUUUUUUUUUACAAAAUUAUUCAUGAACUUUUAAUCUAUUUAUCUAAAUGCUAUGAUACAAAUACUAAUUCAUAUUUUUGGUUAAUGUACAAUUUAGUACUAUUUGAUUGCAAAGGUGAUACGAGUUUGUUGUAAAUGAGAUUGAAAUUUUUGAAAAGUACCAAAGUACAUAUAUAGAUAUAUCUAUUAAAAUAGACAACUUAUAUUGGGAAUUUGAACUCAAGUUUUGGUGAGUGGUACAUUUGAUCACUCUCUUUUGCCCACUUAAUACCCUUUUGCAAAUGAUUUUAUCAUAAAGAGUGAUUCUUUAAAUUGAGAUAUAAGGAGGACUGUAUCUUAUGUGUUAAGACUUCAACUCUUACUAAAUUGUUGUUCAAGAUAGGAAAAAACAUUAUUCUCCUAUGAAUACUAUUAAAUCAUUUCUGACUGUUAUACACACAAUGUGUUAUAUUUAUGACUUAAUCAAUUGUCAAAUAGGAGAUGGAUACAAGCAAUUGGAAGCCUAUGGAAUGUGGUGAUUGGAGGUCUCAACUCCAAGUAUCUUCAACGCAAUGGAUUGUGAAUACGAUGUGUGUAUUUACUAUUUACACUGUUCUUUUAAAUUCUUUUUUUGUUAUUUUAUCUGCUUUUAGAAUUUAUAAUUUGAGUUUUGUCUUUAGGAAUUAUGACCAAACAAAAUGCACUAAUGAUGAUUCUUCUACUUUUGAUUUCUUCUAUAUAUGAAUUACUCUCUCCCUAAAUUUCCACACAUAUUUUAGGAGAGGAAUAGAACUAUAUAUGCCUAACUUAUAUGUUACAUAAUAGACCCCCAAAAUUAAAAUAAUUACAGAUACACAUGUACAAAAUAAACAUACAUCUUCUAACUGAUUUAUAUUUAUAUAUAUUACUUAGAACAAAUCUCUUGAAGAGGCAUGUUAGUUUAUCCGCACAUGAGGUGCAAUAUGUAAUUGGGAAAACAGCUGAGGGAUUUGAAGAGUUGAUUUAUAUUACUGCAACAAGUCAGGUUUGUCGUGUGUUCUAUUUACUGAUCUUCUUUAUUAUUUAUAGAGGGAAGAAAUUAUUGAAUAAAAAAAGAAAAAUGAUAUCAUGCUUAUCAUAUGUCAUAGAUACUUCAAUUCACUUGGUUUGCAGGUUGAUUAUUUAUAGAAGAUAUCCUUGAAAACGCAGAAGUUUGAAACCGGAUUACAGAAUCUCAUUCCAACUGCUAAUUGUGUGAACCCCUCACAUCCAGGUAUUUUCUUGAUAUGUUCUUUGAAUUGUAUUUAUGUUAUGUAUUUUUAUUUCUCAUCAUAUAUAUAUAUAUAUAUAUAUAUAUAUAUNAUAUAUAUAUAUAUAUAUAUAUAUAUAUAUAUAUAUUCUUAUUUUUUUGUUUAUUCCUGAAUGGACAGGUUCUCAGGUCACACAGCAAGUGAACUGCAAAGGCCAACAACAAAUUUUGCCACAUAUCAUGCACAAUUACAAGGAUUCAACCGGAAUACAAGGUUCUUCUAGUUCAUCCUCUAUAGAAUCUGGUGACUAGAAGAAUCAACUGAAUGCAUAUACACGACAAUUUUUUGUGAAUCAUAUGUGUGUAUCUAUGCUCAGUAAAUUUUCUUUAAUUUACGUUAUUCUAAGAAUUAGUUCUUAAAAUCGUGUUUUUCAUGCAUGUUGAUAUACGUAGAACGCGUAUCUUGAAUAUGCAUGGUCCGUUCUCUGGACAUGAAAUGCUAUAGGAACUAGAGAAAAUAGCUCGGAUGUUUGAGGAGAAUAAUUAUGCUACUGCAACAAGCAAGGUUUUUUGUGAUGUUUUGUGCUUGUAUUCUUUACUUUUGUAGUUUUUCCUUUUGAUUAGUGGAAUGCAGAUUUUUCAUGAGUCAUAAUUGCGUACAAAUGGAAGGACUUAUAAUUAUAUAUUACAAUGAAAUAUAAUGGAGCGAAAUACAAGAAAGCACAAACCACUGUGACCCUUUUAGCUGAAAGCCCCUCAAUUAAUUUGUUAACCAUUAAUAAAAUCUUUACAUUCCUUUUUAUUUUAUCCAAAUUACCAAUGAAAUUGUGUUUACCAUGUUAUAGAUACCAACAUGGCGAAUACAAAAAAGCUUUACAUUUCUUUUUAUUUUUUGUCCAAAUUACCAAUGAAUUUGUGUUUACCAAUUAAAGAUACGAACAUGAAAAUUUUCUUGUUUAUUAAUAUAUGAGGUGGAUUGUGUUUUUCAUUUGUUAUAACGUACUUUGGGACAUAAAUCCUUUUAAUUACUCAUUUGUUUUGCAGUAUGAGUAUUGUCAGAGGAUCAUGGUGAUUCUGAAAAUGAAAUCGCAAAAGAUCAUGCCAAAUGCUAUGGAGUCAAACUCUGGUGCUAAUACUAUAAACCUCUCAUAUUCAGGUAUUUCUGGAUAGAUUAUCAUUCAGUCUUAUGCCAUCAGUUUUAUAAUUGUGAAUUAUGUUGGGAGAAUUAUAUAUUUGUAACAAGGCAUCCAACAGAGACUAACAGAUGUACGUAUUUGAUAUAACGAUAACUUUUCGCAAUCGACAAAGAUAUCUACAUCAUGUCUUUUUAAUUUAUUUGAAGUGAUUCUUUGAUUUUGCGAUCUUAGAUCUUUUAGGUGCUGUUCAUAUAUUGUUUAUUGGACUUGAUGAUGAAUAAACUUAGUCAUGGAAAUGAGGCUUUUCCCAUCAAGUCCUAACUUUUUAUAAAGUUAUAAAUUUUCCCUCAUCGGUUUUCCCUCCGUUAUACCUAAGUGUGCCAUUAUUUGCACAAAUUUCAACUAUCAUUUAUUCAGGAAACACUUUAUAUAGACGACACUUGUGUACAAUUGUAAGUUUGAUUUAUUUUUCUAUCCUCACCAUAUAUUUUACUAAUAUUCUCUAUCUGUUCCCUAAUGAAUAGGUUCUCAGGUGAUGCAACUUUUUUAACGUGUCUUGCACAACAUCGAUUCAACUGGAAUUCAAGGUUCCUUCUAGUUUAUCCAUCUGCAUUACACAUGCAUGCACACACACAAGAUAUACAUAUAUAUAAAUAUACAUGCGUAUGUGUGUGUGUAUACACAUAGAUGGAUAGAUAUGUAAUCAUAAUAGAAAUGUAAAUAUACAUGCGUAUGUGUAGAUAUAAAUAGAAGUUAGUUUAUAAAUGCCACAAUUUAGGAAAUUGACAAAGCAAGGAAGCAUGUUUUUCGAGUGAAAAUGACCACUGAUUUAUUGAAUCAGAACUCAGAAGCUAGCCUUUUAUAGAAUUUACAAAGACUUUGUUACAACUAAUGCUAAUUUCCCUUUAAAUUGAUACCAAAACUUAGGCUACUAAUAGUUACAAGAUCUAAAGAGUAAAGACAUUCUUACAUUGAGCUAUUGUCUUACUUUUCAGCAAUUAAUGACACCUCCUUGGAAUCUAGUGAUUGGAGGGCUCAGCUGCAAGCAGAUUCAUGACAAUGGAUUGUGAAUACGAUGUAUGUAUAUAAACUCAAAAAGUUUUCUUAGUUUUGUGUUCUUUUACGAAUUUAAUCAUGCUAACCUCCUUAGAGUCUUACUUUAACUAUGAUGUUAGCAGUUGGUGACUCUAUAGUUUUUUAAUUUGUAAAAUCGUGGUUUCUUAUGCAUCUUGAUAUUACGUAGACUGGAUACCUUGAAGAGGCAUCUUCCGUUCUAUGAACAUGAGAUGCUACAGGAAUUUGAGAAAAUAGUUGUGCGAUUUGAAGAGAAGAUUUAUACUGCUGCAACAAGCCAGGUUUGUUUUGUUCUAUAUUUGUUAAAGUCCUGUGAUCUUGUUCUUUAUUUGUGGCUUUUGCUUUUGCUGAGAGUAAUGAAAAGAUAUUGCAGGAAUCACCAUGUACAAAUGGAAGGAUUUAUAAAAUAGAACAAUGAAAUGCUAUUGGACAAAAUGCAAAAAUGCACAUACCAUUCGACCCUUUUAUCAGAAAAAACCCUUUAAUUAGUUGUCGAGCAUUAAAAGCCUUUUAAUUUUAUCCAAUUUACCUGGGGAAAUUCUGUUUUCCGGUUACAUAACCAACAUGGCACUUUUCUUUUUGUUUUUUUCUUUGAGUCUUUUUGUCCAUAUAUCUUCGAAAAGCCAUUUCAUCAUCCAUAUCAUGGUAACCUGAAAACCUGCAAAAUGGACAAAAUCAAAAGGUAAAAAUUAAAAUAGCGCUUAGCAGAAAGUUAUAAUAGGGGUUUUUCCCGAUAAGAGGACCAUGGUAACCUGUGAUUUUCUGUAUUUCACCCAAACUUAUAAUGUAUUUCAUUUGUUGUAAGGUACUUUUGGUUUGGGACCUAAACUGUUUAGCUCAUUUGGUUUGCAGUCUGACUAUAUACAUAAGAUCUUCUUCAAGAGGCCGACUAUGGAAACGAUAUCACAAUAUCACAUGACAUACGCUAUGCAGUCAAACUAUGGUGCUAAUAGUGUAAACCCCUCGAAUCCAGGUAUUUCCGGAUAGAUUGCCAUUCAAUUUUUAAAAGUAUGAUUUUAGUGGAGAGAAUUUUUUGGAAUGAGGUAUCCAGCAGAUACUAACAACUAACAGAUCUACCUCAUUUUUUCGUAAAAGGAUAACUUUUCCUAAUCAAACCUCCCUAGAAAACAUAUAUGUACGCUAUUCUUUUAUUUUUUGACUUAAUGCUGAAAGAACGGCAUAUACAGAAAGUCAGGGCUUUCCUCAUUAAGUCCUAACUUUUGACGAAUUCCCCAUAAUUUAUUUUUUCCUUCCAUUUCCCCAAUUGUCUCAUUGUUAUCUCAAAUUCAAACAUCAUUUAUUCAUACAUACCACUUUAUCCGGAGUUUGAUCACUUUGUCAAAACGACAGCUUCUGAACUUCUAUAAAACACUUGUCAUCCAUAUAAGACUUUAUGUUAUUCGUGGUGUAUUAAACUUAAACAUUCGUUACUCGCCUUGAUUCUUCAAUAGAGCUUCCAGUGAGUUCCUUUUGACAAGCUCCAGAACACCUAUACACGGUGUUCUUACAAUUAGACAUUAUGUCCUCAUCACCCCUUGUAUAUGUAUAUAAUGAACAACAUGUCCCUAACCACUCACCAAUGAAUUUACAAUCCAUUUAUGUCACUUUACAUAAAUACGUGGUUGUUUCCGCUUCAUAAAUAUCAGUAAUAAAUAUCAAGAUACGUCAAUAAUGAGAUGACGGCUCAAUAAAUAUCAGUAAUUGCGGAAAAAACCUAAUUGAAACCUUUUCACAGAAAAGAAGUGUAUCGAUUACACAGCCUCCUGCUCUGAUACCAAUUGAUGAGAUUAAAACUUAAUUUUGAAGAUCGAUUAGAUCUUAAACAGGUAAAUAAAUAUUAAACAGCAAGAACACGAAAAUAAAGAACAAGUCAAGAAUGAAUCAAACGUGUCGAAUGAUUAUAAAAUAACCCUCAGAAGAGCUCGAUCAAGAACAUCAACUGUAGAGGGUUGGAGGUUUACAAGAAUGAUUAGGAAAACUGUAAAGCUAUCGUAAUUCUCUUAAAAACGCUUAAUCAUUAACCUAAUAUGCAUGCAAGCAUAAACUUAUAUAAUAAACCUAGCAAACUCACGGUUUGGAUAGGCCCAUAACCGGAGUACAAAAUAAAUAGACUAACAGCCGAGCCCAUUGACGCAAUCUUCAAACGAAUCUUCAACCCAACAAUCUCCCCCUUUGCGUCAAUUGGAGCGAGAUCUUCACUUGUUACUUGGGCCAGCAGCCGAGGCAGGUACCUUCUUCUUCACAGUAUUAACACAGACGCGAGAUGAGAGAAAGUAUCGUCUGUCUAAACCUGAUGUACCAUUGGAUCAUGUCGUUGAAGUACUUGACAUCAUCCGUUGCAUUCUCUUGNAUAUAAUAAACCUAGCAAGCUCACGGUAUGGACAGGCCCAAAACCGGAGUACAAAAUAAAUGGACUAACAGCCGAGCCCAUUGACGCAAUCUUCAAACGAAUCUUCAACCCAACACCUUACUUAGGUUUCCCUUUCAAAUUCUGACAUGCAUAAGGGUUCCAAUCAUCAUUCAUCUUUAUUCCCUCAAAUCCCCAAAUUUAUAUACACUAAAUGCAUUCCCAUCUUCAAGAAGGAAAAGGGAGAUCAUAUCUUGAUUUUCCAUCAAAUCUUGUAAAAUACAUCUCCAAUAAUAUAUAUCCCAAUAUAAACUUUCUACAUAACAUAUACCAAUCCUGACUAUAAUUAACUAGUUUAUAUGCAUUCUUUAUGGAACCAAAACCAUUGAUGCCUACGAUUUCUCAUUAAUGCAACUUACUUACAAACCAACACAAAACAUCCCAUCUUCCUAACAUCCUUAACUUGAUGCACCAUCACAUUUAGCUACUAAAUAAUAAUACUUGAAGUUUCCAAGAAAAACAACUUAUAAAAAUUAGGGAGUUACACCAUAUACUGUCAUUUGGCUAACCAUGAGUGAGAUUCGAGCAACGUACGAUUGUAUAUUUUCAUUACCUUCCAUGCAUGUUGACUUGAAGUUCUUUCCGAGGCAUUGCAAUGUCACUUUGUUUAAUGAAUAACAUCCCUUGUGUCCCAUUAGUGUGAAAGUCCUUUUUUUAAUCAGUUCCCAUAAAUCUUGUGAUCUUAGAAGUGCUUCUAGUUUGAUUCUCUAGAAUUCAUAGGAGUUGAAGACAAAAAUGAGAGUCUGUAAUAUAUGGACCGCAGAAUUACUUGAUACCAUCUUUCACAUGAAAUGACUUAUUGCUAAGACAAGUUAGGAGAGUAGCAAAUUUAUAUAUUGCAACCAGGAUCUGAUAUGAUAAUGUAGGAAAUUGACAAAUCGUGUUUUUGGAGUGAAAAUGACUGCUAUAUUAUUGAAUCAGAAGCUAGACUUUUAUAGGUUUUUUGUAGAGAUGUUACAACUAAUACUGAUGCACUUGAAAGUUGAAACUGAAACUACAAAUCAUGCAAUUACUAAUACAAGACAUAAAGACCUUUCCAUUUCCAUAGUUCUAGCAUCUAAUUUUAAAUUAUUUUCAUGAAUUACUAUUCAGCAAUUGGUGACUCAUCUGGUGAUUGGAGGUCUCAACUGCAAGAAAAUUCACGACAAAAGAUCAUGAACAAAAUGUGCGUAUUCAUACUCGUAAACUUCUCAGUUUUAUGUUCUUUAAAAAUUUUAUGCUAACCUGAUUACAGUCGUACUUUAACUAUGAUGAUGUUAGUGUUGGGAUUUUCUAGUUGAUAUUGUAGCUAGCCUCAUGUAUAUAAAUAGUCUCAUGUUAGUUUUACAAGUGAUGAUUGUAAAGUCAGUUAUCAAGAACUCUACUCAUCAAAAUGUAUGGUCUAGUUUGUGGAAGUCUAUAACCAAGUGUAAUUAUAGGAAUUCAAUUAUAUUGUCCAACCAGGUAAUCAUAGCUCUACAGUCUAGAUCUAUGUAUACUGACUCGUCGAGUUUAAAUUUUGUAUUCAAAUCUGGUGUCUUAGUGAUAUUGAUACUAUUCUUGGGUUCUUGAGUUGACAAGUUUUAUAAGCUUUUGCGAGGAAGAGUGAGGUAUAUUCAAAUAUUGAUUCUUUUCACGUUAUUUUUGUGAGUGCUUUUAUUUAAGAUGCCUUUUAAAGAGCCUAGAUUUGUUUCUUAGAGGAAUGAAAGUUGUAGAAAUAUUAUUUUGAGAGAGGAAGCUCUUCCUAUUACAUGUGUUCUUCCAUUUGGAAUAUGAACUUGCUAGUAGUUCAUUGAAUACGAUGCUAAUGCAUAAGAGGUACUAAGGAGACAUGUGAAGGAUGUCAUAUAGUUAAAGAAUGGUUUUAGAGGUUGAACUUUUACAAAGGUAGGAUUUUUAUUGUUUUUUAAACCAUUUACCUAACAUUAGUUUAUGUCAUCAGUGAUUUUAGUUUCAUUGAGUCAUGUUGGGUGAUGGGAAUUACAUGGGUGCUAAGGGAAUGUAGACUAUGAUUUUAUAUGAGUUAAGGGGUGUGGACUGCAUAUUUGUAUAAGGCUAGUUUGAUCCCUAACAUGAGGAUUGGUGGGGUCAAGGGGAAGGACACUUUGUAGUGGUCUUGAAACUAAAUGGAUUUUCUGAUUGUAAUAUAGUUGAAAAGUUGGACAGAAGUGGAAACCCAAAACUGAAAAGUCAAUGUUUAGGAUGGUGAUCAAGAUGUGUGUAUUUACUAUUUACAUCCUUCUCUUAUAUUUCUUAAUUUUAUGUUCAUUAAGAAUAUGAUCAUGGUAAUCUUAUGAGUUCUGACUGUCAUAUCUCGACAUUAUGUAGAAUGGAUACCUUGAAGAGGCAUCCUCGAUUCUAUGGAUAUGAGGGGCUAUAUGAACUUGACAAAAUAGCUGAGAGGUUUGAAGAAAAGAUUUAUGCUGCUUCAACAAGUCAGGUUUGUUGUGUGUUCUAUUCUAUGACAUAAUGUUUUUUCAUAUAUGGUAAGUUACUUGGGGACCUAAAUAUAUUAAUUAAUUUGGUUUGCAGGCUGAUUAUUUGGGCUAGAUAGCCUUGAAGAUGUUACCCAUGGAGACUCGAUCACAAAAUACUAUGCCUGAGUCAAACUCUGUUGCUACUAGUGUAAACCUCUCAGAUGGUAUUUCCGGAUAUAUUUUCAUUUAAUCUUAUGUCAUUAGUUUUAUAAAUAUGAUUUUUAGGGAGAAUUUAUCGAUGUAGCCCUCUUUAGAAAAGAUUUGUACGCCAUCGAUACCUUUUAAUUUCUUUGACAUGAUUUUUUGAUUUUUGACUUAAUGCUGGCAAGACUUAGGGGUUGUUUCUUCUUUUUCCUCAUUAAGUCUUGUAUGGGUAAGGCCAAAGUGAUGUAUAUAUAUAUAUAUUAUAAAGUCAAUUUCUUUUCUAGACUAAAUAAAUCGUCUGAACCAAACUAAAUGUCAAUUUUAGCCUUAUAUUCGUUUCGAGUUCUUUUAAAACAACACGAAAGGAAAAAAGAAGGAUAAAUAGUCAAAAGAAACACAUGUAUAUCUAUUGUGAUCAAGUGCAUAACACAUAAAACUUAUUAAAUGAAAAAGAAACCGCCUCUUAAUAUGGUAAGCUAUAUAUGGGUUUAGUGCAUAAUGAACGAAUUAUAACAUAAAAUCAGAGAAAUGGAGCUUAAGAAAAAACCUGAGAGGUUUGAAGACAAGAUAUAUACAGCUGCAACAAGCUAGGUUUGUUGUGUGUUCUAUGACAUCAUGUUCUUUCAUGAUAUGGUAAGCUACAUUGGACCUAAUUUUUUUAAUUAAUUUGGUUUGUAGUAUGACCAUUUGCGAAAGAUAUCCUUGCAGAUUUCGUCUAUGGAAACUAGAUCACAAAAUCCUAUGCAAUCAAACUAAGCGAGAGGCCUCUAACAUAUUAAUACAUAAUGCAUGACAGUAAAUGGUUGUCACAAAACUAAAUCGUUGUGAUGACAAUUACGAACUUCACAUUCGUAACAUAACCUAAGAAACGUCUUUUAUGAUAUUUGACUUUUACCAUUUAUGGCAUUGUACUUCAGUUACUUGGUCAUGUUUACAAUACAACCCUCUUCUGAAAAGAUAUGUACGUCAUGCCUUUUAGUUUGAUAGUUUCUUUGAGAUGAUUCUUUGAUUUUUGACUUAAUGGGGACAAGACUUUGGGACUGUUUCUUCUUUGAUUUUCGUCUUGUAUUCCAUUUUUUUCCAACGUGAGGAUAAAAUAGGUAGAGUUAGUGUCUUAAUACAUCGAGUUUUUUUGCUUAGCCCAUUAAGUCAUUUUGUCCUAUUAAGUCAAAAGAAACAACCAUGUUUAGCUAUUGUGAUCAACUGCUUCACACAUAAAGCUUAUUAACUAAAAAAAGCUUCUUAAUACAGUAAGUUAUAUAUGGGUUUAGUGCCGAAAAAAUGAAUUAGUACAUAAAGUCAGAGAAAUUUGGCUUUCACUAAUAAGUCCCAGAUUUUUACCAGUAUACCCUCAUUUCUUUUUGUCCUUCUAUAUCCCCGCAUGUGUCAUAAUUAUCUCACAUUCAAACAUCAUUUAUUCAUACAUCUUAUCGAAAGAACACAAGCGUAUAAUAGUAUUUUUAGUAUUUAUUUUCCCAAUAAACCAACUACAAAUCAAUAUAUAGAUAUAACAAGAAAAAGGAACAAAAGAUUCUCUGAUUAAUUGAACUCACUUGACAAUAUUAAAAAAUUACAAGAAAGGUUUAAGGGUUCAGAUAUUCAAGAGUCUAGCCUCUCCUAAGGAAUAAAUUCCAUAUUUCACAAGAGAUUUUGCUACGCCCAUUCCCUCUACCCUUUUAUAAGCCACUAUUUUAACAAACUAAAUAGCAUAAUUACCCAAAAUACCCUCAUUCAUAAUAUGCUCUUUAUUUUUGUUAAAUUAUAUUAAUAUCCCUUUUAAAAAUGCAUGCCUAGAAUGGAUGUGUAGCACCGUCAUCAUAUAUUUAGGGUCCUAAACACUAAACACAUAGACUAUGCUAAUGAAGAAUGUUUCGAUUCUAAGACAUUUAGUUGUAGAAAUUAUACGGUCCCAUAGUUUCAAAACAAGUUUAAAAGUUAAAAGUAGGGAAGAUGUUCCAAUAGAAUAUCAUAACAUGAGGUGGCCUUUUCAAAAGUCCUUGAUACUUAGCACAUAUUAAAACAAGUUAGACAAUGGAAUUAUUUGAAUAAUACCUCCAAAAUCAAUGAAAACAUAAAAAAAUAUAGAAAUAAGGGUUUAAAGGACCCAAACCAAACCAAACCAAAAGGGUAUUAUAUAACUCAUAGUUCCAAACAUAUUAAUGUUGAGUUUCAUUAAUCCUAACAAAGAAUAAUUACAUAGGCAACGAAAAGAACAAAAUUUAUUCUAAGGCAAGUUAAAAUCUAAACACUAUAAGGAUCUUAAUCUAAUAAUAUAAACAACAAAACACUUAAGAGAUACUAAGCUUAGAAAAAAAAUCGCAUUUUUCUAACUUAGAAGAUCCUUUUUAUGAAUUUCGAAAUCCUUGAGGCUCUUGAAAGAGCUAGCACCUAAAGUAGAAUGUCUCUAAUGAAUCACACCCAAAAGACUAAUUACUAGAAGAGAGGAGAGAGUAAAGGGAGAGCCAAAAUCUCGAUCUUAAGAUUGCUUAGAGCAAGGGACCAAAUUUUUGGGAGCCAGGAUGGGGUAUUUAUAACUGGAGGUUACUUGCAAAUAAAGCGGAUUUGAAUAAUUAAAUAAUCCAAUUUAAUCCAAAAUUCACAUCCUUUCUUAUCCAUACCAUAUGGAUGAAAAUCCGUAGGAUUAUCCUAAGGAAUUUUCAUCAAACCCUAACUAGGGUUCCAGAAUAUUUCACCUAUUCAACUGUUGAAUAAUUACAAUUCAGUCAUCCAUGUACUUUUAAUUAAUACUAAAUUAAUUUGAAAUUAAUUCUAAAUUAAUUCUAACUAGUUUCUAAUUAAUAAAUCUAGUUAUGAUAAGUUAAUAAACUAUUUAUCUAUAUAUCAUAAAAUAUUUUUCUAGUUCUUUUAGCGCUUGAUGGCAACCCUAAAAGGACUUUGUUAUUAUUCCUAAAGUUAUACCAAUUAGUUAUGACAUCGGACACCCAUUUUCAAUAGUUACCCACUUGGGCAAUUCAUCAACUACUAUUGGUCGAAUAGCUUCAGAUAAUCAACAAAGCAUACCUUCCACAACAUAUGUCGAACUUUGAUCAAAUCAAGAAUCAACCCUUAGAUAAGUGAUCAAUUAUUCAUUUGUUUCUACAAGAUAUAUGUAUGAACUGACUCAUGGAUUUAUGAAUCAACCUUACACUUCAAAAUAAUGUUUUUUGGUUAAUGAUUUAUGAUGACCAAAUCAGACUAAUCGAACACAUCAUUUUAGUCCGGGCUAGGCCUAACACUAAGAUGUCAACAUCAAACCAUCAAGGGCUCCAUGAUAUCGCUUUUCCCAUUAAGGCAAAAGGAACAAAUAAACUUUGAUUGCAUAGUUUUUUUUUCUACUUGUCAUAUCAUGCAUAGACUUACUCUUUAUAAACACCAAUUAUGGAUAGCGUUAGAGUAAGAAUAAUAUACAACCAACUUGUUUGCAAAGAACUCAAUGUCUCUCUGUUUUAAGAAUAAAAUAUAUUAUCAUCUCAGAAUUACUCGUGACUGAAUCCAUGAAGUAAUCUCUUUGAGUAUGGGUUUCUCUAUUACUAAAAUAUCUAUUAAGUACUCAUGAAUGUUAGUCGCAAUCUCCAUGCUAUGUCUAAUCACUAUAAACAAUCUACUAAAACUUCAUGACAAUAUUAUCUCAAUACUUACUUCCAAGAGUAUAGCCGAUUGUGGAUGUUUGAGUAAAUUAGUAUUCUGGAAGUGGGGAUCUAAACAUGCAAAAACGAAACACAAUAAUAAAUUAAUUGUAAAUGGUAACACUCCUGAAUACAAAUACUUCUCUAUUAUUUAAUCAUCAAAACAAUUACUAAACUUAAAAUCAUCUCUCAUGCCUAUGCUCCUAGCAUGCACAUUAUGUCUUUUCUUGGUCAGUCCCUUUAUGAACGGAUCAGCUGGAUUUUCUUAUGAUGACACUCCCUUCACAGUAAGAUCUAUAUCCUUAACUCUAUCUUGAAUGUAAUGAAACUUCCUCUUUAUAGGUUCUUUAAUUGGAUGAUUGCACCUUCGUUAUCACAAAAUAUUUUCAUGGGAUCUUUAUUGCUCGUAACAACUCCAAGAUCACCAAUGGAGUUCUUAGUCCAGGUAGCUUCCUUGGACGCCUCGCUAGCAGCAGUAUAUUCAAACUCACAUGUAGAGUCUACCACCAUUUCCUGUUUAGAACUUUUCCAUCUCACCGCACUACCGUUUAGCAUGAAUAACCAUUUAGACUAUAAAUUGGGGUCAUCUCUAUGCGUUUGGAAAAUUGCAUCACUAUAACCCUUCAUAACAACCUGUUUUUCACUUCCAUAAACAAGAAACAUAUCUUUUGUAUUUCUCACAUACUUAAGAAUCUUCUUGAUAGACGUCUUAUGAAUUUGCCCAUGGUUUUCCUAAUAUCGACUCACCAUGCUCAAAACAUAUGAAACACUAGGACGUGUACAUGUCAUAAUGUACAUGAUCUACCCUAUAGGUGAAGCAUAUAGGAAUUUUCUCGUUUCAUCAUAUUCAUCACUAGAACUAGGACAUUGAGAUUUACACAAUUUUAUGCUAUGAUGCAUAGGAACAUUUCCUUUCUUGGAAUUUUCCAGAUUGAAUCUUUUUAAUACCUUAUCCAUAUAAGUACUUUGACUAAGUCCUAUUAGACACCUAGAUCUAUCUCUAUAGAUUCUUAUACCAAGUAUGCAUGCUGCUUCACCCAAGUCCUUCAUAGAGAAACAUUUUCUAAUCCAUGUUUUUACACUUUGCCAAUUAGGGAUAUUGUUUUAUGUGAAUAGUAUGUCAUUUACAUACAAUGCUAGGAAGACAACGACACUCCACUAGCUUUGACAUAUACACAUGACUCAGCUGGACUUUUAGAAAAACCAUACGCUUCGAAUUUUUCAUGGAAGCACAGAUUUCAGCUUCGUGAUACUUAUUUAAGUCCAUAUAUGGACCUCUCAAUCUUACACACUCUAUCUGGAUACUUGACAUGUUCAUAAAGUUUAGGUUGUGCCAUAUACACAUCCUUUAAAAUUUCCCAUAAAGAAAAGUGGUUUUAACAUCCAUUUACCAUACCCCCUAAUCAUAAAAGGCAGCAAUGUCAACUAGUAUCCAAAUAGACUUUAGCUUACCUACUGGUGAGAACAUUUGCUCGUAAUCAAUUCAUUGAGUUUAAGAGAAACCUUUUACCACUAACCUAGCUUUGAAUUUAUGCACAUUCCCAUCCAUGCCGCCUUUCUUCUUGAAGAUCCAUUUACAGCCUACUUUCUUAAGACCAGGUGUUGGAUCGACCAAAUUCCAAACUUGGUUAUCCUUCAUGGACUGAAUUUCAAUGUCCAUUGCGUCUUUCCACUAGGCAGCCUCAGAGUCUGCCAUCGCUUCCUUGUAGUUAGCUGGAUCAUCCGUAUUAACUAGUAUUUUAUCACCAAUCAAUUUCGUUCCUUCUGAAGUUAUAUGGAAACUAUAAAACUCGGGAGGAGCAAUAACUCUGCUAGAUCUAUGAAGAGGUAAGGAUAUUUCAUUUUGAUCAACAGGUUUCUCAACCUCUAGUUGAGUGCUAGUGUCAACUAUAGGUUCACUGUAAGUUGACUCUUGAAUUUCCUCAAGGUCAAUUUGACUCCUACUAACUUCUUGAGAUAUAAAUUUCCUCUCAAGAAACACUCUUUUUCGAGCUACAAACAAGAUGUUUCAAUGGGUCUGAAAACAACUAUCCAAAAGGAUAUUGUGGAUAAAUGACAAAAUGAAACUUCUUAGAUAUGGAUUCAAGUUUAUCUUGGGUUUUGCGCCGAACAAAAACCUCAUAACCCCUUACCUUAAUGUGAUUAAGUGAAGGAACUUUUCCAAUCCACAUCUCCUGAGGUGUCUUUGAAACCUUCUUAGUUGGUACGAGGUUUAAUAUAUGGGUUGUUGUUUCAAGUGCAUACCCCUAAAACGUUACUGGUAAUGAAGCCUGACUCCUCAUAGAUCGAAGAAUAUCCAAUAGGUUUUUUUUUCUCAUUUCAGCAACUCCAUUAAAUUGCGGUGUUCUUGCCGGAGUUAAUUGUGAAAUAAUUCCACAAUCUCUAAGAUGAUUGUUGAACUCAAUACUAAGGUACUCUCCACUCUGUUGGAUCAGAGAACCUUUAUCUAAUUGCCUAAUUAAUUAUCUACUUCAUUCUAAUACUCUUUUUAGAUUGGGGAACCUUUAUCUUCUGCCUAAUUGAUUCUUUACUUUAUUCUAAUACUCCUUAAACUUUUUAAAGGUAUCCUACUUAUGUUUGAUCAAAUAAACAAAACCAUAUCUACUAAAAUCAACAAUAAAUGUAACGUAGUAGUGUUUAUCUUCCCUUGUGGUGGAUCUAAAGGGUCCAUACAAACCUAUGUGUAUGAGAUCCAACAAUCCUUCACCUCAUUCACAAGUCCAUGUGAAUGGUAUUUAGUCAUCUUUUCUAACAAGCAAGACUCACAACCAUCUCCAAUUUUAAGUCGAAUGAUUCCAUGUUUCACUCUGAUUGGAUCUUAGCGAUGCGUUUCUUAUUUAUGUGGUUAAGGAAAUAAUGUCAUAUGUAACACCGUAAAUUUCCAAACAAAUUUUUCAUUUUUAAUUUCAUAAAACACAUGUCAUUUUAGAUAAACACCAUUUAAUAGUCAACAAAGUUUUCAAAACAUUAUCAAAAUCCAGGAUCCCCAUUCGUGACUCUUUUCUCUGGUGUGUACAAUCGAGCCGCCGCCUUCCCAUGAUCCUGAUAAGAACCUGAAACACAUAACACAUAACACGGUAAGCACAAAGCUUAGUGAGUUACCCAAAUACCGCAUACAACACAUACGCCACUCGAGGCUACAGUACGACCCUCCGGUCGAUGUGUCUCAGCGGGACCCUCCAGUCCCGUAGCUCGUUGGACCCUCUGGUCUAGUCAUAGCUCGUUGGGCCCUUCGGAUCGGUCUGUAUCGUUGGACCCUCCGGUCCGUUCUGUAUCAUUGGACCCUCCAGUCCGGUCUGUAUCAUUGGACCCUCCGGUCCGGUCUAUAUAAUCAUAUAACAUACAUAUAUCACAUAGCACAUAAGACCCUCCGGUCAACACAUAAAUACCACUCUAGGUAACUUAUAGUGAGAAGACUCACCUCGAAUGAUGAACGGCUCCUACAAAUGUCGUCGUUGCGUACCAGCCUCUACCUCUGAGCCAUAUCUACAAUGAUCUCAAAUUAGGAUCUAAGUCCCAACCCUCAUUCUCUAGGCCUAAAGGUAGUCCACUAACUAGUCCAUAAAUAACCCCAAAACCCAUUGGGCCCAUCAAGGCCCAAUAAUAAAUGGACUCUAGCAAGGCCCAACUCUCAAGUCUAAGAGGCAAGCCCAACUCAAGGGCCCAAGGCACAUAUACAUAUCCCUCUAGUCCAAAUCUCUAGCACAAAAAUCCCAAACUCCAGGCUCAACACUUAAGGCCCAAUAUAAGACUUAGCCCAAAAACUCCACAGUGGGGUUACGCGGGGCGUACCUCCCUUGGUACGCUCAGCGUACUCCAUCACACAUGAAUCCUGAUCGGGGACACCGAAAUAGUACGCGGGGCGUACUAGAUUUACGCUCAGCGUAUGCCCAAAUUUACUUUUUCAACUCUUUUGGUCUUAAUCAGUUAAGACCAUAACUAUACUCUUAGAUAUGGAUUCCAUAAAGGCUCAUACUCAAUAAAGCUCAAGACUUUAAGCCUUUGCAUGGCUGAUCAAGUUCCUAAGGCAAAACUCUCACUCUUUACUACCCAAAAAAUCUCAUAUCUCAUGCAUGGUUUGAUUCCAACAUCCAAGGACUCAAUUUUAUGAAUCCUUUCCACUAGAAACACUUAAAGGGACAUAUAUUAGGCUGUGGAGCUUAACCACUCAUAAUGCUUCAAGCUUUGGGACCAAAAACCUUAAAAUGGCCCAAAAUAAAAACUAGCACAAUAAUAAGCAAGUUCAAAACUUGAUACCUCUGGAGGAUGCACCAACAAGAGAAGAACAUAGAUCCAAAAGCUAGGUGCUCAAGCCAUUCUCUUUCAAAUCUCCUUCUUCUUCAAAAGCCAAACACAACAAAUCAUCACCCCACUAGAUCCAUAUGAGAAAACCACCAAGAUUCAAACUUUAUGCUUUCUGGAGCUAGAUCAACAUGAUUAGGGCUUGGAUCCAUAAGCUCUAAGCCAAGCAAUGCUUCCUCAAGAAACUCCUUCUUCCACAAUAUGCACCAAAAACUCACUAAAUCACCAAAGUCCUCAAGAAUCACUCAAAUGGAUGCUUAGGGUCGAUUUCUAGGGUUUAGAGGGAUGGAGACUGAAGGUAUUGGGGUUAGGUUAUGAGAUAAGGACGUUAAAUAGGGUCCAAGACCCUAAAAUAGCGUUCAGGUUUGUUUGGCGUACGCCCAGCGUACUAUGAAGAACAUUCGCGACCCUCCCUGGUCAGUACGCCCAGCGUACUCGGCUAAGCCUAAAACCACAAAACUUGUGAAGGCCAUAACGUCUUCGUUAUAAGUCCGUUUCCGACGAUCCUUAUAUCCACGGAAAGCUAACGAGAAGCCCUACACCUCUAUCAACUUUAUUCCUCCUGAAUCCCACUCGAACGUAAAUCCAAAAUUCAUGAAAAGCUCGAACCAGCGCCUUAACAAUACAUUCGGGCUCUAAAGCACAACCGAACUCUUUUAUCACACAACCUACCUCACCCACAUCCCAAAAGGGCAUAACCUUUCUCUUUCAAUGCCUCAAAACCUUCUCAUACUCGGAUUAAGGCCUAUGGGCCUUAUAUCACAAAACAAUCCGGAACAGGGUGUUACAAUUCUCCCCCACUUGAAAUAGAUUUCGCCCUCGAAAUCGCUCCUUAUCAACACAUAGGUCGAACCCAAUGAUUCAAGAAGCACCAUCGAAAGAACCCCAUAUCAUAAAACAAUCUCUUCCAAAAAUACUUAAACCCAAUAGGAACUCCCGACCCCGAAGAAGGACAGACCCUUCUGCCGCUGCGGUACUCGAUCUUUCUCUCCAGAACUUGAAAACCAUACUGGUCUGUCUCCCUACCAGACCACCCUCGCAAUCUCAUCAUGUUAAUCGCUCAUCGAAUAACAUACUCUAAGAGUACUCUACCAAUUUUGAUUCUCUAAUCGAUCCCGGUCGCAACUCAAAAGGGAGGGAAAGGUCAUAUCCCACUAAGGACCUACUGCCUAAACAACUAUCAUAACUCUUCUGAAGGAAUAAUCCUCAAAACUCUAUCCUCAGACACAAAGAAGCGGUCAAGCCGGCUCGGAACGAUCCUUUGGCACCCAGAAUCAUAAGCCCUAGUUCCUCUCAAAUGUUCCAUCCGACACUGAACACCAGGUCAACCCUUGACCCGACAGUUGGAACUUCAAGGGCUACCCACUGCACACCCAAUAAAACGACUUACCGGCUUCCUUCUCACAAUAACUAUCUCGGCCCAUCAUGACACACAAGUGCCAAAGUUUGCUUUACCCCAAGGGAAUACUACAAUCACAACUGAAAUCGUCUCACCCUCGACCCUAUCGUCUACAACUUAUUAGCUUCAUACAUCUCGCGUUCCGUCCAAUACAAACGAACUGACCCACACAGGUCUAAAACAUCAGAUGACACACAAUACCCCUCAAAAGGAACCCACCUCUAAGCUUGGAAUCUCAUCUUGCCUUCACAUUACACCACUAGAGCCAAAUCAAACUCAAGAGUCUGGCUCGACGCGAAAUUGGAAUCACUCGUCCCAACGAUGCUCUCAACUCAUAACUCAUGACUCGCAACUUUAGCGUACAUCAUUACAUCCAAUUCCUUCUGAAUGCGAUAACCAUACCUUAACUGAGAAUACAACGACUCCCGACCAUUAGGAUAGACCCUAGUCUCGCCCAUGUCCUGUCUACCAGAUUCCCACAGACUCACUGAUAAGGCUACCUAAGCCUAGGAACUCCUCUGCGUCAUGCUCUGGCUAGUGGAAACUAUGGCUCCCCGCAGUCCCACAACGUUGUCUCACUAACCGGUGAAAGCUAUGGCUCCCCGCAGUUUCACAAUGCUCCCUCACUGCUUGGCAAAUACUAUGGCUCCCCGCAGUAUCGCCACAUCAUAUCGUUGGCUGGUAGAUGCUACGGCUCCCCGCAGUAUCACCACACUCUCUCGCUAACCAGCGAAUACUGCGGCUCCCCACAGUAUCACAACACUCUCUCGCUGACUAGUGAGUACUUCAGCUCCCCAUAGUACCCUGAUACCCUCUUCCACUCAAGCACUCGGAACCUCGAAAUAUUCCUAUCUCACACAUUGAAACACGGAGGAAAUAUCACUGACUGAAAACAAAUUGACUAAAUUCCGAAGCUGCAUCCUCUACUGAUCACCACCCAAGCGAAACUACUCAUUCUGACUCUGAAAUUGGUCGACAAAUCCACAGCUGCCCCUCCUGAAGUAUAGAUCACAAUCUAUACCUAUACCCGCAAAUCUCAACUAUUGCACCCUGAACUCAUCGAGCCAAUCUCCUCGAACUCAACAUUUUGCAAACCCGAAAGAUCCCUAGCCAUAAUAAAUUCUCUGACCAAUGACCUACCAUCGUGGAUUCACUCACCCUUUCGCAAGCACAUACACAUACAUCAUCUUGCAUCGAACCUCACCUCUUUCACCAAAUACCCAGGUUUCAUGUGUCCGCACCGCAAAUCUUCAUAACCAAUCCUAUAACCUCACUUUAACGGAUUGCUGAUCCUCUCAAUAGAAUACCCAGUUCUCCCCCACUCAGGGUUCGAACCAUCAGCAAUUGGUAUACCAACAAUCUAUUCCAUAGACUGUUUCACCAGGUAUAUCACACUUGACUCUUGGAAUGUGUCACGUAAUCGAUUUAAUGAUCUUCUUGAUGGAAACCAAGAAACUCCACAUAUCCCAACUUUGACCAAAAAUCUCAGAACCCUCCCAGCGUGACUGCCUCUAUUCAUCUCGAAGCCUCAAACCGACACACUGUCGGGUACCCCACUGCUUCGAAUUAGAUCUGACUCUCAGUCCGGAAAUGAUGUACAAUCACACACCUCGACUCUGACUCCUCGACCCGUUUUCCUAAAUCGGAAAUACUCAUAAAAGCAAUAUAUCUCACUCUCAUCAUCGAUACACAACAUAGACCAUAGGGGACACCGCCUCGAUAUACUCCUCUUAGGCAGUGGGAACUCGCAGCAAACAUACUGCCCAAAUACUCUGGUGAAAAGGUCACAGCCCCUUGCUACCCCACCGGAUCCACCUCCAACUCUGAAACUGGAAGUUCAACACCCCUGCUGCUUCUCACAGAAAAUAGCACAAUUAUGGUCAUAGAAAAAUGGCAUAUCUGCUAUCGGCCGACUGCUCAACUCAGACCGUAAUCCUCCAAAAAGUACCACCUCUACUUAUCCCUGAGUCUUGUGACUCCAACUGACAUCUCACCAAAACGUCUCAGGAACCAACUCGAUUUCUCUUCAAGGUAUGCUCAAUUGAAACUCGUUCAACAUGGCCCUCUUUCCUCACACUCUAUCAUGUCUCAUCCCAGUCUGAUCAAUCUCAACGGAAUUACUGGUAAAACCAGAAUCACCAUCCGCCACGAAUCAUGGUACUCGAACCAUGCUAUCUUCUCUCAAUCUACUACGAAUCAUGGUACUCGAACCAUAUGAUCACCUCUUAACCUGCUACCAAUCAUGGUACUCGAACCAUGACAUAACCUCCCGAUCUGCCACCAAUCAUGGUACUCAAACCAUGACAUCACCUCUCGAUUUGCCACCAAUCAUGGUACUCGAACCAUGACAUAACUUCUCGAUCUGCUACCAAUCAUGGUACUCAAACCAUGAUAUCACCUCUCUAUCUGCUAGUUAGAACCUCUAGAAUUUUCCCUGUAUCGAGUAUCGGUCCUCUGCUUUUCAGUAGUACGGGCCCAUACUACCUGCCACAUCUACCCAUACUUUCCACACGGACCAUCCCAGAUUUCGUAAGUAGCUGCUCAACUUCCUUAAUCACCAUUCCCGUCAUACCUGGUCGCCCUCCUGCGAAAUGCUUUACUCUAUCGGCGUACUCAUCUGACUAAGGUCACAACCUAGGCUGAUCCUAGGUUCUCACACUUCUCCGCCAUCAUCUGCUGAGAAACUCCUUAUGAUGCCAGUCAUCUACCUCCUGAAUAUCGUCAUAUUCACUUGGUAGCUAACUCCCAUCAUCAGGAAUUCCACAAAGCACGAAACAAGCAACAAUCAGGCAUCGAAUAAACAAGUAAAACUCGCUCUAGGUGAUAACUCCACUUGCUCUACUCAUACUCAAAAGAUAUCACCGAACCCUGCAACUCUACCCCUCGCGGGUAUCUAGCUACUCUCUCGGUAGUCUUCAUAAAUGCUCAUCUAGGUAUCUCUCCAAGAUUACUCUUCUACUCAAAUUACCCUCUACAAGGGUUCCCGCUGGAUACUCUCACUUAGUACAUACUUGAAAGCGCAUCACAGAUAACAACAACUCCUAGGUUAAGGCAUCACAAAUCAGUCCACUCUAGUCCUUAAAUAUGAAAUGCCUAGCCUAAUCUCUAGCAUGUAUAACAUAUCACAUAUCAUUCAUAACACACAACGUAAGGGUAUUUUGCGAAAUCACCGUUCAGGCGCUGGCUGAUUGUACACACUGCUCGUUUCCUCUUUCUCUUAAAAUUCUCUUACUCAUCUUUCGAAAAACCGUUCCUUUUGAAAACUUUUUGCAAAUCCUCAGUUUGAGUCCAGACAUACCCGAAGGUGUAUCCGAAUCCCUCAAACCAAGGCACUGAUACCAACUUGUAACACCGUAAAUUUCCAAACAAAAUUUUCAUUUUUAAUUUCAUAAAACACAUGUCAUUUUAAAUAAACACCAUUUAAUAGUCAACAAAGUUUUCAAAACAUUAUCAAAAUCCAGGAUCCCCAUUCGUGACUCUUUUCUCUGUUGUGUAAAAUCGAGCCGCCGCCUUCCCNAUUAUGCCGGUGCCAUCCCGUGAUCCUGUGAGAAACCCGAAACACAAAACACAAAACCCUGUAAGCACGAAGCUUAGUGAGUUCCCCAAAAUACCGCAUACAACACAUACGCCACUCGAGGCUACAGUACGACCCUCCGGUCGAUGUGUCUCAGCGGGACCCUCCAGUCCCGUAGCUCAUUGGACCGUUUAAUCUGGUCAUAGCUCGUUGGGCCCUUCGGUCCGGUCUGUAUCAUUGGACCCUCCGCUCCGGUCUGUAUUAUUGGACCCUCCGGUCCGGUCUGUACCGUUGGACCCUCUGGUCCGGUCUAUAUAAUCAUAUAACAUACAUAUAUGACAUAGCACAUAAUCUCAUACAUAGCACAUAAGACCCUCCGGUCAACACAUAAAUACCACUCUAGGUAACGUAUAGUGAGAAGACUCACCUCGAAUGAUGAACGGCUCCUACAAAUGUCGCCGUUGCGCACCAGCCUCUGCCUCUGAGCCAUAUCUACAAUGAUCUCAAAUUAGGAUCUAAGUCCCAACCCUCAUUCUCUAGGCCUAAAGGUAGUCCACUAACUAGUCCAUAAAUAACCCCAAAACCCAUUGGACCCAUCAAGGCCCAAUAAUAAAUGGACUCUAAUGAGGCCCAACUCUCAAGUCCAAGAGGCAAGCCCAACUCAAGGGCCCAAGGCACAUAUACAUAUCCCUCUAGUCCAAAUCACAAGCACAACAAGCCAAAACUCCAGGCCCAAUAUAAGACUUAGCCCAAAAAGUCCACAGUGGGGUUGCGCAGGGCGUAUCUCCCUUGGUACGCUCAGCGUACUCCAUCGCACACGAAUCCUGAUCGGGGACACCGACCUAGUACGUGGGGCGUACUAGAUUUACGCUCAGCAUACGUCCAAAUUUACUUUUUCAACUCUUUUGGUCUUAAUCAGCUAAGACCAUAACUAUACUAUUAGAUCUGGAUUCCAUAAAGGAUCAUACUCAACAAAGCUCGUGACUUUAAGCCUUUGCGUGGCUGAUCAAGUCCCAAAGGCAAAGCUCUCACUCUUUACUACCCAAAAAUUCUCAUAUCUCAUGCAUGGUUUGAUUCCAACAUCCAAGGACUCAUUUUUAUGAAUCCUUUCCACUAGAAACACUUAAAGGGACACAUAUUAGGCUGUGGAGCUCAACCACUCAUAAAGCUUCAAGAUUUCGGACCAAAAACCCUAAAAUGGCCCAAAACAAAAACUAGCACAAUAAUAAGCAAGUUCAAAACUUGAUACCUCUGGAGGAUGCACCAACAAGAGAAGAACAUAGAUCCAAAAGCUAGGUGCUCAAGCCAUUCUCUUUCAAAGCUCCUUUGUAACAACCCGAAAUUCAUAUCCCUAAAUGUAACCCUACUCGCGACUCGUUCCGAUCAUCUAAUCGUCGUUCCCGAUUUCGUUUCCGAUUUCCAACAUUUUAUUAAGUCAUUAAUGUAUAUUUUAUUUUAUGACUUAAUAAGUGUCUUAAUACCCUUAGAACUCAUUCUAACGUCUGAUAUUAAUGAUCGGAACAUUUCUAGAAUCAACCAUAUCGGGUUACGGCAAAUUGGUCGGGCGCGACCAAAAGCCCUGUCUAACGCGGUUAUCGGGUAGAAUUCUACCGUGUCCCGAACUUGGACACUAUUUAAAGUGAUCCAAGUCUUCAUUUUGAAGCUUUUUCUCAAUUCUACAACUUUCACACCAACCUCUCUCCUAAAUCGAAGUUUAAGGGUCCAAAUCUCAAGUUAAAGGCUUCUAAUCACCAAGGUAUCUUCCCUAGCUUGUUAUGUAACCACUUUAGCCUUCAAAUUAGAGAUUAAUCUAUGGAUUAGGACCAUUACCAUGAGUUUACGGCCCUAGAACAGUCCUAGGCCGUAAACUCAUAUAAAUGGGGUUUUUGGAGCAACAACACCCUUCUAAACCACAAUUAGACCUUAGAUAUGGCUAGAUGACUUUAUGGAAUGGGUUUAGAAUGCCUUGAAGCAUAAUUUAGAGCCUUGUUUAUGAGUUUACGGCCCAGGAAGGUGUCUAGGCCGUAAACACUAUAUUAUAAGGGUUUUAAGCCCUUAAACCCUUCCAUGGCUCAAACAAGAUUUAGAUACGACUUGUAGAAUAUUGGUUAUGGACCUAGAACACUUCAAACAUGAAUUAUGAGGGGUUUGUAUGAGUUUACGGCCAAGGCAUGUGCUUGGGCCGUAAACUCCUCAAACAUGAGUGUAAACUCACUUCUAAGGUGUUAGAAAGCCAUCCAACACCACCAAAAGCCUUGGAAUAAAUCAUAGAACCAACCAAAAAUAGUUUAAGGACCUUAAACACCUCAAAACUCUCCAUUUGAGAGUUUACAGCCAUAGAAGGUGCUCCAUGGCCGUAAACUCCAAAAACACCCCAUAAGUCCCAUAAAACUUCAUGAAAGGCCUUGGAACAAUUUUAGAAAUCACAUGUGAUUGAUUUGGAAGCAUUAAAACAAUUAUUCAAGGGUGCAUAGGAGUUUACGGCCGUAAGCUCCAUGCUAAGGCCGUAAACUCCCUUAAGUAUGUCCAUUGGUGUUUAAAAUUCAUUCCAAGCCCUUAAACCAAACCUAGAAAUUUUUCCCUAAGUGUUUCAAGCAAAUUUGCACCAUAAACCACCCCACCAUGAGUUUACGGCCGUAAACUCAUGGGGAAUGGCUGUUCUAGGCCGAAAAUUCUUGUAAGAGUUUACUCUUGAAGAGUAAACUCCAUUUCCUGGUCAUUCAAGUCCUUAAACACCACCCGGGUCCUUCCAAACACUUGUAAUGGGGUGUUUCCGCAACUAGAAGUGUAUGUCCUUAACAAAUAAAUUAAUCAUGUCCUAAUUAAAUAAAAAUAUGUAUCAUUUCAUAAUCCAUAGGAACCUUGUGCGUUCGCGAACCCAGAACUGACGUUUAGGAUCCAAACCGACGCGUUUCUCAACCGGUGAGUUCAUACCCCUACCCUUUUUCCGUGUUUUCAAUGGUUUUUCAAUGUUUUCAGGGGGGGAAUNGGGUUUUUUAAUGUUUUGAGGGGGGGGGGGGGGAAUAAAAGCAAAAGUACAAGUGUAUUUUGUACUUAAACUGAUUUUCAACUCAUUGGUUUUACUUACUAAAUGUCUUGAUUUCCAAAGAUUUGUGGUAACUGACGUUUCGAAUUGCAGGUUAAACAUAGAUUUCUUUUAAAAAGAGUUAUAACUACAUUCUUUUUGAAUAAGAAAUCGUACUAAUCAUAUUUAAGAUCAACGAAUACGAAUACGAAUACGAAUACAAAUACGAAUACGAAUACGAACAUGAAUACGAAUGCGAAAAGACGCCUUUGGUUGACACUAAGACUUCGAAUAUACAGUUAGUGUACUCCUUGAGUGUCACCAGAGUUUCAAAUCUGAUAUGAAAAUACGCCUUUGGACCUCUUCUGAGUUUCAAAUAAGUCCGCCUCAGAAUGUCGACAGAGCUUCGAAUACACAACUAAUAUACUCUUUUGGAACUCAGCAGAAUUUCGAAAAUACUGUAAUGUACGCUUCUGUGUGAUUCCAAAACUUCGAAAAUACAACUAAUUUAGUAGAUUAUAGUUAUCCGAAAGUAGAAUAACUAAGGUUUUAGAACACAUAACUAAUACUACUCACAUGGUAAUUACUAGUACUUCGAAAUCAGACUUAAGAACCAACAUCAAGACAUAGGAAAAUAUGGGAUUUUCCUGGGAUAACAUAACAAUCAGUAACGAACCAAGAUACAAAUAGACAACUUAACACAUAGGAAAAUAUGGGAUUUUCCUGGGUAGUACAACAACACAUAAACGGAUAAAGUAACAAACGAAUAACUAAAACUAUAAGGAAAAUAUGGGAUUUUCCAGGAAUGACAUAACCAACCAUUUUCGAAAUUAUAACAAAGGAUAACCAAACCGUUUUCAUAAGAAAAUAUGGGAUUUUCUUGAUCAACAACUUUUCCAGAAAGUAAAGGAACUCAUUCUUUUCAAAACUAAACCGCUUAUGAAAUCACCAGCUUUAUGCUGAUUUUCAAACCGCUUGUAUUCUCAAGUCAGCGUUAGACAGGUACACCACAACCAUCUAGAGAAGACGGAGCGUCCCGAAGACUCGUCUUUACUUUUGUUUAUAUUACAUAUGUAAAAUACUUGUAUAAUUUUUCUUUCAAACUGAUGUAAACAAUAUUAUGUAAUGUAAUGUUUUGUGUUUACUGUUUUACUAUGUGCAUUGGAUUUGAUACUCAACAUGGAGUUAACCCUGGAAAUGUUUCCGCCUUCGGUUUUCGGGGUGUGACAUCCUUCUUCUUCAAAAGCCAAACACAACAAGUCAUCACCCCACUAGAUCCAUAUGAGAAAAUCACCAAGAUUCAAACUUUAUGCUUUCUGGAGCUAGAUCAACAUGAUUGGGGCUUGGAUCCACAAGCUCCAAGCCAAGCAAUGCUUCCUCAAGAAACUCCUUCUUCCACAAUAUGCACCAAAAACUCACUAAAUCACCAAAAUGCUCAAGAAUCACUCAAAUGGAGGCUUAGGGUCGAUUUCUAGGGUUUAGAGGGAUGGAGGCUGAAGGUAUUGGGGUUAGGUUAUGAGAUAAGGACCUUAAAUAGGGUCCAAGACCCUAAAAUGGCAUUCAGGUCCGUUUGGCGUACGCCCAUCGUUCAUAUGAUACGCCCAGCAUACUCUGAAGAACUUUCACGACCCUCCCUGGUCAAUACGCCCAACGUACUCCAAAUUACGCCCAGCGUACUCGGCUAAGCCUAAAACCACAAAACUUCUGAAGGCCAUAACUUCUUCGUUAUAAGUCCAUUUCUGACGAUCCUUAUAUCCACGGAAAGCUAACGAGAAGCCCUACACCUCUAUCAACUUUAUUCCUCCUGAAUCCCACUCGAACUCAAAUCCAAAAUUCAUGAAAAGCUCGAACCAGCGCCUUAACAAUACAUUCGGGCUCUAAAGCACAACCGAACUCUUUUAUUACACAACCUACCUCACCCACAUCCCAAUAGGGAAUAACCUUUCUCUUUCAACGCCUCAAAACCUUCUCAUACUCGGAUUAAGGCCUACGGGCCUUAUAUCACAAAAUAAUCCGGAACAGGGUGUUACAUCAUAAGCAUGAUUUGUCAAAGUUAUUAGAAGAAUCAAUAUUUAAGUUAACGUUGUUAUUAUUAGAAACAAAAAUAACACUUUCAUAUAUGAAACUGCAAGGAGAAGAUUUAACCAUAAAACAACCAUAUUUAAAAACCAAAAUAUCACCUAUUUCAUUAUCAAAUGAAAAACGAAAUCCUUGUUUAAACAAUGCAUGAAAUGAAAUAAUAUUUCUUGUCAUAUUAGAUUAGUAACAACAAUUAACUAAAUUAAUCCUAACUCCACUACUAAGUAUCAGCUCAAAAUCUCCAUUCAUCGAGACAGGUGGCGUUCGUCUACUCCCCAUAAUCAGAUUUAUCUUCACAUGAUUAAGCUUCCUUCUUUCCUUUAGACGCUGUAAUAAAGUGCAUAUGUGAGUACCGCAUCCUGUAUCAAGAACCCAUGAAUUUAAAGCAAUAGUAUAAUGGAGUUCAAUCAUAUAAGUACCUAAAGUGGAGCCAAUCACUUUGACAUUACCAUCUUUGAAAUCUUUCAUGUACUUAGGGAAGCUUCAUUUCCAAUGCCUCUUAAGGCCACAAUAAAAUCAGUUUGGCUCUUUCGAAUCAUUGACUGAUGAAAUAGAGGACUCACUUUUGCGUUUCCACCUUAAUGAUAAGGUGUAGUUAAAGCCUUACCUUUAUAUUUGGGAUCAGAACAUUUCAUCUUCUUUUCACCACCAUUUUGAAUGGAAAGGAUUAGGGCUCGAGAGUUUACUGGAGCAUUCUUCGGUCCAGCUUCUGCAGUUUAGAGUAGGUUCUAUAAUUCCAUCAGUGUCUUAUUCAUACUAUUUAAAGAUAAUUCAAUAUGAAAUUAUCAUAUAAACAAGGGAGAGGGCCAAUCAUAAGAUCUACAAUAAGGUUCUUGUCACAAAAAAAUCAGGAUUCUCAAUUCGGUCUAUGUAGCUCUUCAUUUAUUGAACAUGACCACAUACCAAGCCUCCCUCCUUAAUUUUUCAUAGUGUUAGGGAUCUCACAACAUCAAAUCAUUCUUGCAUAUCUCUUUAUUGAAACAUUUCAGCCAACUGCAAGUUCAUCUCAUAUGUCUAAUCAUUCUUGAAAUUCUUUUAGAGAGUUGAGCAUGUAGAGGCGAUCAUGAUGUAGAAAAUCUUAUUUGAGUCUUCAAUAUGUUUGUGGUGAGCAACCUUAUAUUCCUCACUAGAGAAAUCAUCAAUGUCGAGAAUAGGAUUAUCAAGAAUGUACUCACGAUCAUCAUACCUUAAAGUUAUCCUAAGGUUACAUAUCCAAUCGAGAUAGUUUUCCCAGCCAGUGAUAUUUUCCUCUAGAGAACAGAUAGUAGGGAAAAUUUUGAAUUUGUAGGUGCACGACUAGGUAGGAGAAGAUUUUCAUCAAGACUAGGCAUAUGAACUAAGAAAGAUAGUUUUCUUAGUUGAUUCAAUCCUUAUAUGAUCACCCAAUUUAUAUUAAGGCUAGGAUCCAUAUUUUAGAUUCGAGUUAUGAAUAGAGAUACCAUAAUCAUAUCAAAAUUUUAUUUUAAGUAGGUAAAACUAUUUAUCUAUGAAAUUCCUAGAUCUUUUGAGAUUCAAUAAAACUAUUUAAUGGCAUGUUAAUCUCGGAUUUGCACAUCUUCUAUGUGUUCCUAGGAUAUUGAGGUCUCACAAAUAAGAUGGUGAACCAUCCGUGUAAAACCCAUGUAACCCCUUGAUUAUGUUAUGGUCUCAAGUUGAUGUGUCAUUUAACCACACACUCUACCAACAACCCAUAAGUACCACAUCAUCUUCUUCUUACAAUUCAAAAUUAUGUGUCGGUUACUCACAAACGCUAGAUAAAUUGACAAUAAGCAAUAAUGUACAACGUUAAUGGAUUAGAAACUAAUCAUAUUUUCUAAUAUAACCAAGAUGAGAAUUUUGUUUUAGUACUUUAUAUGUUAUACUUUUAACAAGACAUUGUCCUAUCAAACCUGUUUGGCUAACGACAAUCAACCAUAUAAAGAAGUGGUGAGUGAAAAUGAAAAUAUGUAACAACCCGUUUCAGAGGAGGAAUUCCAUUCGCUUAUUGGGAAUUUUGUUUCAAAGGGAAGUAGAAGGAUGGUGUAAGAUUGGAUGUCAUUUAUUGCAACUAUUGAAAUAUGAGAUGUUAGUGUUUCACUCAUUGGCAUGGCGCGGUGUCAGUCCUUGGGCUAAUGGCUUUUUGUUGGUAAUUGGGCCUAUAUAAGGAAAUCUAAAUCCUUGAGUUUGUCAUUUGCAUCCUACACAGUCUCCAUAACCUUUCUUGAGAGAAACCCUAUCCCCUUUUGAGUGUUAAAAUUUCCACCUCUCUCCUAAGCAAAAGUUUGGUGCUCUUUUGGUGAUGCUUGUGUUCUAGAGUGAAGAAGAAAAGAAAGCUUGGGGUUUGGUUUCAUUACAAGUGAAGAUUUAUCCAUCCUUUGACUUUUGGAACUUUGUAAAUCCUAAAGUUCAUUGUUUUAUUGGUUUGAACCAUAGGAUCUAGGAGUAUUUUGUGUUUUAUUUCAUUAUGUGAUGCUUUGGCCCUAUGAAUGGUUUGAUCUUGGAAGUUUGGACAACUCCAAGAGCUUAGAAUCAUAUUGGACUUCAGAUCUGACUUUAUGGUAAAGUUUAGAGUGCAUGCAUGAUCCCUCUUUACUCCAAACUUAAAGAAAGGUGCAUUCUUCAAUCUAGGGGUUUGGAUCCUUGGAAUGGAUAAGGUUGGAAACUGUAUCCAUCAAGACACCUGUGGUCAGAUCUGAGAGUUAAAGGCAUGGAAUUAAUGGAUUAACUUAAUUUUUUAGAAGUUGAUAGUGUCCACGAUGUGACACGUCCUAGGCCGCAUCGUGGUGGUUGCUGUAGUUUGAUCCUCGUCAGAUUCCAGCCAAGCAACCCAACUAUUUUGUUCUUUUGUGACCAUGGCACGGUCAAGUGGUUUUGCCGGGGCGUGGUGAUCUGUGAUGGUUGACUGUUUACUUUGACCAUUGGGUUUUUUCCACUUUGACUUUUGGUCAAAAUUUAGUAUAAGUGGGUAUUUGACUAAGUAUUGGUAUCAGUUUAGAAUAGAUAGCUUGCCCUAGCUAUUAUGUUGUUGAGGUCACUGUUGUAGUUUGGUUUUUUAGCUCAUGUUAUUUUCCUCACUAUACUAUGUGUUAUAAUGUAUAUCCUUGCGUGGUAGGAUAUAAGGGAGUACUUGUAUGUUGGCUAGAGUAUCGAUGGGUUGGGUGAUCAUUGGAAUGAAUGUCGUAAGGGUUGUAUAUAUUUAUGUAAGAAAGCCUGAGAACUCAUGUCUAGGCUUUCUUGCCCAUUCCAUGUUUGGUUGUAUCCUUAGAGUUAGAUUAUCUUUUUGACUACCUAUCUUAUCCUUGAUUACAUUCGACUGUGCCUUCAUUUAGUGAUCUACCAGCUAUAGUGUAGUGUGCAAUUUGAGCCUCAGUAUGAUGUGAACUUGAUGUAGCGAAUUGUUAGACAGGUAGACCACUUAGAUAAGUUCCUGUGCUAUUGAAUUGUUUGUUUUCCUGUAUAUUGUAUAUAUUUGUUGACAUAUCUUUUGGUGGGUUGAGCGCGGUCCUAUUUUGUGCGUUAGGCCAAGAUACCCAAGCGGGCUAGCGUUACGCUGAAGGCCAGAUGCAGACCAACUUUAUAUCAUAAGCGAGUGGAGCAGACCAAUCAUGGACUGAAAGCCAAUGUUGUAUGCUUGUAUGUAUAUUAUGGUGUGUGGUAUUUUAAGGGAACUCACUAAGCUUUGGCUUAUAAUUAUGGAUUAAAUGUUUCAGGUACUUCAGAUAAUCAUGGAAAGGCGAUGGCAUGACGGUACAUACAUCUGAUGGGUUUUGGUCCUAAGAACAUCCUAUGUGCUCAUACAAACCCUAAUGCUUGGAUCUAGGUUUCUCUAUUGUACAUGCAAGUUAUCCAAGACUAUAAACCCUAAUUCUAGAAUUCAAGUAAUCAUAUUAACAUGAGAAUAGGUUUAAGAUGUUACCUUGAUUGUUAUGUAGCAAUAACAAUCCCAAAUCUCCUUGUAUUGACUUUAGGAAGCUUAGAGUCACAAUUUUCACUCCUCUAAUGGUUCACAAACACCAUAAGCAAGAGGAUGAAGAGAAGAGAGGAUGGAGGCUACCAAAAAACGUGUGAAACCCUAGAAGGUUGCUUAGCCACGUUUUUGGUCAUAAGGGAUCUCUUUAUAUAGGAGGCAAUUAGGGUUAUCUAACAAGGAAACCCUAAUUUGGAUGCUUAAGCCCUAAGCAACCCAUGGAGCCCUUUCCUUAAGGCCUUGGACGAUUUCAUAUGGGCUUCCCCCAUAGAAUUCGUCCACCUUAUAAUAAAAGGCAAUCCAUGGCCCAAAUUGCAAUUAUCUUAUAAUUACAAUUCCAGUCCCUUAAGUUUAAUUAAUCUCUUUUAGUCACAAAACUAAUUACCAACUAAUUAUUGACUAAUAUUAAUUAAACAAUAUGAUUUCUCCUUUAAUAUAUUAUUCUCAAAAUAUAUUAAUAAAUCAUAUUUAAUCCUUUCUCUCCAUAAUUCAUCCUAUCAAGUUGCUUUGGUGAAGGCAACCCAAAAGGACCAUGCACCAUCGGGUCAAGUACAUACCAAAAUAGUUAUGGACUUAGACACUAAUCCAACAGUCUCCCACUUGGAUAAGUCUAAUAACUAUUAUGCGUAUGACUUCAGAUCCUGAUCUGCAAUCGUAGCUUUCCAAAGCCGCUGUCAACUCUGAUCCUAUCAGAUACGCGUGUCCUUAGAUAAGGGAUCAUAUAUUCCUCCAUUCUAGAUAUCAUAUGAGAUAUGAUUUCAAAUCAUUCUCUUUGUACUAUAUCUCGAUUCCCGAUUUAUGACGACUGACUAAUUGAACAAAUCAAAUUAGCCCUAGCCCGGCCGAGCAUUUACGUUUGUCAUCACUAAAUCAUCGAGGGGCCCAAAGAUAUCGCUUUUAUCCUACUUUGGAUAAAAGGAACGGAUAAACUUUGAUACAAUGCUUGCUUGCACUCACUCACCGAAUCACACACAACAAUAUGUUUUAUAACACCAAGUUACUAGUGCGUUUACAUAUUAUCAAUGUGCAACCGAUUUGCAAGAUACAACUCACACAUCUCGGUUUCAAGAAUAUAAGAUGUUAUCGUCUCACCAAUCACUCGUGAUACAAUUCAUGGAGUGAUCCAAGUGAGCGUGGGUUUAAUCCAAUGCUCAAAUCAUAUUCAUAAGCACUCAUGAACGUUGCAGCAAACAUUUGCUUAUGUCUAAUACUCUUUUAGACAAUCCACACACCAAUUCACGACAGUCUUCAUUCAUAUCUACUUCCAACAUAUGAACGACUGUGGCCCGUUUGAAUAAUUCGAUUAUUCUUAAUAAACUCAAUUAUUCUGGAAGUCAAAACAUGCAAAUGUGAAACACAAGAAUAAUACUAAUCCCAUAUGGCCUCAAACCUUUGAGUAUAAAUAAAACUCCUUUUAUUUAUCACCAUAUCGAUUACUCAUUAUUUGUCGUUUCGGGUAAUCAACUUCUUACUUGAAUUAUUACACUUGUCCCAUGCUCCUAGCAUGCACACAAUGUUUACCUAUGGUUCUUACUUUGUGAAAUAGAUCAAAUUGAACACAUUUCCAAUCAUUCUCAUUUCACAACUCCAAAUCCUUUUUCAUAAGUGUGAGAAUAUCAAAUUCUUGUUACUUAUAAAAUAUGCUAGAUUCUAACAUUCUAUGCAAUGAUCCUUUCGUAAUGUCACUGCACCAAAGUCACAAAGACUAUUGCCAAUGAUAUUACAAAGUCCUCUAUCGGAGAUUGUUACAAGACAAUUCCUUAGAUAUGAUGUCUCUCACUCAAAGUACAUUCCUUUGAACAUCCUUUUGCAUAAAAGUUUCUAAUCUAGACAUAGAUUUUCAAUAUUCAAUUCCCAAUAUGGACACACUUCCAUAUUUUCCAUAUGACAACUCAUUCUUAAUAGAAUCUUAUCUAUUCGUAAUGAUGUCGAUAUGGUCCAUCCAAUAUGGAAACAUUUCCAUAAUUUCCAUAUGACAACUCAUUCUUAAUAGAAUCUUUUCUAUUCAUAAUAAUGUCGAUAUGGUCCAUCCAAUACCAUGCUUCCAACUACUCACAAGCGACCAAUCCUCGUCGAACUUUGGAUUGUCCUUUGAUAGUUG
rnacentral:lncRNA from 1 species